rnacentral:lncRNA from 1 species
AGGCAGAACGGUCGCCGCGUCGCCUCAGCACGGACCUCCAGGGAGCUCCUCAGCAAGAUCCUGCCAGGGCGCCCCUCAGCGCGAUUCUGCCGGGGUGCCUCUCAGCGUGGUCCUCCCCGGGGCUCCUCAGCACGAUUCUCCCGGUGCGCCCCUCAGCGCGGUCCUCCUCGGUGCGUCAGUCAUCGUGGUUCUCCCCGGCGCGCCCCUCGGCGCGGUUCUCCUCGGGGCUCCUCAGCGCGGCGCUCUUCUGGGGGCUCCUCGGCGCAGUUCUCCCCGGGGACUCCUCGGCGCCGUUCUCCUCGGGGCACCCGGGGCUUUUCGGCGCGGUUCUCCCCGGGGGUUCUUCGGCGCGGUUGUCCCCGGGGGUUCUUCGGCGCGGUUCUCUCCGGGGGCCUCUCGCCGCGGUUCUGUUCUCCCCGGGGGCUCCUCAGCAUGGUUCUCCUCCGCGCGGUCCUCCCUGGGCCUCCUCAGCGCGGCACUCUCCUGGGGGCUCCUCAGCGCGGCACUCUCCCCGGGGGCUCCUCAGCGCGGCACUCUCCCGGCGGCUCCUCAGUGCGGUUCUCCCAGACUCUCCUCAGCGCGGCCCUCCCCAUCUCUCUGGGAGGGUUUGAACACGGUCAGCACGGACCUGGGCGGACGGCGCGGGACGGGUGAUCACUGGCGUUGCUGAGGUGAGCUGUGUGCCCCGCGGCCGUCCCAGAUCACAGGCGUCAGCAGUGCAGCCUGGCCUGGGCAGUGCGCUCCCAUCUGCACCUUAUGGACAGCGUGGCCAGGGUCGAGGUCCGAGUUCCUGGCCGCGUCCCAAGGAUCGGAUUCCGGGUCUAUAGUUCUCAUGGUGGUUCAGAGUGGGCUGAAUUGGGAUUGGAGUCUGGAAUCCGCAUCGUGGUUCUGAGUCCGCGCUAUUGGGAUGGAAGUUGGGAAUCCAUGUUGUGGUUUUGAGUCAAAGCCCGAAUUGGGACCGGAGUCGGAAAUCCACUUAGUGGUUCUGAGUCAGGGCCCGAAUUAGGAUCGGAGGUGGGAAUCCCCGUUGUGGUUCUGAGUUAGGUAUCCUAGUUGGGAUCAGAAUUCGGGUCUAGGGUCCACAUCCUGGCUGGGAGUUUGCCUGAGUUGGGAUCUGAGUAGUUGGGGUCCCAGUCAGUCCGGGUCUGGAGUCCGCAUGGUGGUUUUAGGUAGGGCCUCAUUAGGGACAGAGGAUCGGGAGUCUGAGUUGGGGACCUGAAUCCCGGUCUGGAGUCUGCAUCAUGGCUCUGAGUUGAGAUCCAAGGGAGGUCCGAGUUGGCGACUGGAGUCAGGGUCUGGAGUCUGUCUUUGGGUAGAGGUUCUGAAUGGGGGGCUCUGAGUUAAGAGAUUGGGAUUGGGGUUAGAGGUCUCAGUGGGGUAUGGGAGUCAGGAAUUGAAGUCGAAGUUCUGCCUCUAGGUGGGGAUUCUGAGUCAGGAAUUAGGGGGCGAAGUAAAGGUUGCAGUCUGAGUUGGGGGUGGUGAUCACCUGCCAGGUGAGAGGUAGUGGUAGAAGUCUCUUGGUCAUAUUGGAGAUGAGAGUUGAUCAGAUGCAGGUCUCAGUCUGGGUAGUAGGCUUGAAGGGCCACCACUAUGUUCAGAUCCCAGUACCCCACUGUGGUCCCUGAGCAGGUCAAAUAGCCUUUUAUAUAAAAUUGAGAGUAAGAGUGCCUUCCCACAGCACUGUUCUGGUUAUGAAAGAGAAUAAUUCAUCCAGGUAGAAUAGUUCUGUCUUAGAUUAUCACAAAGUAUAAAAACUUUCCUGAUAAUAUCCACAUUUGAUGUGCAUUUACCAGUUCUUUCUUUACUGUGGUGCCCCUUUUGCUAGACCAAAAGCUCCCAACGAGGAACUCUGUUUUGUUUUCUGCUGCCUGCUCUGUACCCAGCCAAGAGCCUGAUACACAGCCUUACUCAGUCAGUACUUGAAGGAAAGCAGGCAGGCAGGAUUAACCAGAUUUCUAUGGUGUCUCAAAUGAUCCAUUUCUGCACCUGUUUUCCAGAUACUCAGUAGGAGAAAAAUUUAAGGAUUGAGUUGCUUGAUUAUGGGUGUAUUUUAAUGUGUUUCCUAACAUGCUGAGGAGAAAAGUGGGUCUGUUUCAGGAUUUAUGCUCCAGCUAGAGGGAUUUUUUAAAAUUGCGAAUCAGAGCAUGUCCAAAUUCAGAUAGAAAGCACAAGAAAACUAUAAAGAAUUUCCCUUAUGAAUGUAGAUGCAGAAGUUCCUUGUACAAUGCUAGCUAACUGAAUCCAAUAAUAUGUAUUAAACAACAAUUCUUAAACAAGUGGGAUUGCUCUUAGGAAUGCAAAGAUGAUCCAAUAUCAGAAACUUUAUCCAUGUAAUUCACAUUAAGAGGCUACAGGAGAAAAACCAUAUGGUUCCCUCAAUAGAGGCAGAAAAAAAUGAUGUGAUAAAGUUUAACGCCUAUGUGUGAUUUUGGGGUAGUGGAGUACACCACUUAGCAAGCCAGGACUAGAGAGGAACUUCUUCAACUUGAUACAAGUUAUAAACCAAAACUUAACUUUUCAGUAAACUUGAUAGAGAAAUUAAAAGUGUAUCAUUCUCUUUAAGAUAAGGAGUAGGCCAAGGAUGUCAUCCUGGCCAUACCCUAAUACAAGAAAAAGAAAUGGGGAUGUGAGGAUCAGGUAGGAAGUGAUAAAACUUAGUGUAGCUCAUAGGGUUGAUGGUCUCCAUAAAGAUUCUCAAACAUUUUGGUGUUACGACUUGUUGUAUUCUUAAAAGUUAUUGAAACCCCCAAAGGGCUUUUCUUGAUAGAGAUUCUAUCUGUUGAUAGUUACCAUCUUAGAAGUUAAAACUAAGAAAUGUUUAAAGCAGAACUAUACAAGCACAUAUUCCACUGGGGUCAUGGUGUGCUGCCUCUGGAAAACUCUUUAUCUUUGUGAGAAUGAAAGAAAAGGCAAAUAAUGUCGAGUAUUAUUAUGAAAAUGUUUUUGACCUUUCCUGAAAGGGUCUGGGGGGCUCUCUGGAAUCCCCAGACUACACUUUGAAAAUUACUGGGCUACAUGGAAAAAAAAAAUUAAGGAACUUAACAACUAAAGAGAGAUUUCAGAUUUCAGAGAGGUUUUGGAUAUAAGAUCAGUGUACUCAAAACAAAAAACAAAAACAAACCACAUUUCUUUAUGCCAAUAGCAACUGACUAAAAAAAAGCAUAAUAGAGAUUAGGACAGCAAUCAGAAUAGCAGCAAAAUUUAUACCAGUCUAGGAAUUAACAAAGACGACGACUUUUAUGGAAAAAAUUUUAAAACUCUAUUGGAGGAUAUAGAGGGAGAUCUUUCCAUAUGCAGAGACAUUUUAUUUUCUUGAACAGGGCAACUUGGCAUUAGAAUGACGUCAGGAUUUUCCAAAUCUGUUAAGUUCAACAGGACUCCACUCAAACUUCCAGUUGGAGGGCUUGAGUAAUUUAACAAACAUAUUCUAAAAUGUAUGUGGAAGAAAAAUAUUUGUAAAUGCCAACUGAACUUUUGAAAAGGAGAGCAGAGGACUUCUGCUGGCAGAUACCAGGGCACACGCCAACUUCAGCAAUCAGAGCGGUGUGGUGACAGAGGCCCAGAAGAGAGCUCAGAGGUAACUCCAAGUCUAGAGGAAGGGGACAUGUGAUAAAGGUGGCACCACAUAUCAGUGGGGACUGUUCAGAAGAUGAUGUUGGAAAGCCAGCCCUAAAAUGGAGGAAUAGGAAUAUGGAUUCCUAACUGAGCCCCUAGGAAAAGUAGACUCCAAAUGGACUAAAUAUUUGAAAGCAAAAGGUAGUUGCCAUUUGUUUAAUAGGAGAAAAAAUGAAUAAUCUCCAGGGCCAGGGUGGCCGUGGGGUUCUUAAACAGGAUCCAGAAAGCACAAACCUCAAGACUAAAAUGUAUGAACUUGAAUGCAUUAAUGAUUAUGGAUUAAGGAUUUCUGUUAAAUAAAUCCAUCAUGGCAAGGGUCAAGACUGUUUUCAUAAUAAUACUAAGGAAACAAUUUGCGUUUUUCACUUUUACACUCAUGAAUGUAACUUUGCCAUGACUCAUUACAAGAUAUUUGAAACAAUUAAAGCUGAGGAGGGAACAACAGCUAAAAUAUACCAGAAAGCACCACAAAUCAUUAAGAAAAAGGUAGGAAGAUUGCCAGUUUGCAGGAGGGUUAACAAACAGAUGAAAAUUUGCCCAAGCUAAUCAGUUAUCAGAGAAAUGUAAAUGAAAGCAACAGCUAUUCUUCAUAGGAGAAGCAUUAGAAAGUAGGAUAAGGCCAAGUGUUGGCAGAAGGCAAGGAACAAGCCUCCCUGUGUGCUGCAGGUGGGGACGGAGACAGGCACAGACGUUCUGAAGAGCUGGCCAACACUUCUUCCUCAAAUAAAAUAUUUUAUACCUGUGGCCCAGCAGUUUCCCUCCUAAGUAAACAUGCUGGAGCAGUUCUCACCCAGAACAACGAGAGGCUGUGUGUGUGCAUGCUCAGGGCAGCAUGGCCCAUAGGGGUGGGCAGUUGGAGCUGGUCACUGUGGUUAGGAGCAGGGGACUAGAUGUACACUUCACAAGAUAGAGACGCGUGGAAACACAGUGCUGAGUGACACAAAUGCCAAACAGAAAGAGGGCCUCAGUACAUGACUGUGUAUUUAAAUUAAAAUUACACACCACCCAGACACGCAGUACUAGGGAGUGCUCGUGAGUGCACACACACACACACAAUGAUAUAAAUAAAUUACCCUGGAGAAGCUGUUUGUGUAGGGAGGAGAGCAAGGAUAGAGGCUAGAGAUGAAGUGGAAAAGCAUGGAGAGGAAGAGAGCGGUGACUUUAUGCAGACCCUUACAGGGUGACAGUGUUUCAUAGGCUGAGGGCUGUGAUCAACUCUGUGCAGAGUCCCAAAAGCCAAGAACCAACGAAUGAAUGUGCCUCCAUGACUCUCCUGCCAGAUACCCUCUAGUGGCUUCUAUUUCUAGGAAAUAAAAUUCAAAUUCCAUCAGGUUUUUACAAGAUCUGCCCUGCUUACCUCUCUGACCACUGUCCUCCCUCACUGAGCUUUGGCUCUGCCAGCCUUCUUCUUCUUUGUUAAAUCUGCCAAGUAUCCCUCCUGCCCCAAGGCCUUCACCACCUCUGCCUGGCUUGUCUUUUCUGGUGAUCUUCCCUUGACAAUUCCUUCUUCUUAUUUAAAUCUCACAGGAAAUUUUGCUCUGACCUGCCAUAUCUGUCAUCCCCUUCAGUCACUCACUAGCUGACGACUACCUUUCGAGUCUCUGCAAAGCACAGGCUACGCUUUUCUAGUUCCUUAGACAUCUACUUAUUUGUUGGCUGCCUAUCUCUUCCACCGGAAGAGAGGCCCCAAGAGAGCAUAUCUGUCUUCCGUAUAGGGUCCGCACAUGGUGGGUGUGUCACAGAUUUCUGUUGAAUGGUUUCAUUCAUUUAUUGAACGAAGGAAGAGGCCAGGCCAGGAAAGUGUGCCUCCAUUUUCACAACUCAGUGAGAAAGCAAAUAGCAUGUCAAAAUCUGACCCCUUGCAACCAGGGUUUCUUAGCCAGCCACACUGGUAAUGCUUGGGACAGGAUGUAUCUUUGUUGUGAGGGGCUGUCAUUUAUAUUGUAAGAUGUUUAGCACCCUGCCUGGUCUCUACCUAGUUGAUAUUAGUAAUUCUCCCAUAGUCAUGAUAGCCAAAAAUAUCUCCAGACAUUGCCAUAUGUCCCCUGGGGGGCACCGCAGAUGACAACCACUUCCUUAGAACAGCUCUUGGGACUGGGAUGGUGUCUCUGCUGUGGCUCUUUAAAGGCAGCAGGCCCUGGCUUGCAUCCUGCCACAUCUAACACCUAUAGCCUCACCACCUCGGUGAGAAAGACCCUGGCCCAGGCCUGGCCAAUCAGAGUACCCUCUUCCCUGGUCAGCAGUAUAAUUUGUUUGGCAAGCACUUCCAGUCCCACAACCUAUGGGCUGCCACCCAGAGGUUUAGUUGGAACUACGUGUCAGCUGCCGUCCCUCAGCCAUCUAUGGCAUGGGCACCUGUGGCUUGACCAAGUUGGAGGUGGCCUAGAGAGGCCGGGCUGGGCCUGCUCACCUUCUCCAGUUAGUGCAGACUGAUGAAUGAGUGGUUCUCAGCGGAUACCGGAUCCAGGUUUGCAGUACACUCCAGGAGGAGGACGAGUAGGGUUUCCCUCAGAGCAGGCCUGGAUGGGAGGGCAAGGGGUGGCCUCUAAUACUGCCUUUCCUUCCGGUGCCUUUAUCAGCCUGUGCCAUGCUCCUCUGAACUGGCCGGCCCCAGCAUGUCCAGGUUACUGGCAGGAGCCUGUAUAACCCAGGGUUCCAGUCACACCAGCCAGGAAGGCCCAUGAGGCUGGAGCGCACCCAGUCUCUGGCUGCUCUGUCUGCGGAACUAAAAGCCUUUCUCCCAGAGCCUUUCCUACGGCUGGGCGAAGCUCUUGUUUGCAAUUUAAAUGUGGCCUCAUUUAUGGAAGAAUCCCUGCUCCUCCGAAAAGCCUUGGGCUCAACCUCCCUAGCAGCCCGGGCCUCAGCCAGGAGAAGAAAUGGAUCUAAAAGGCCUUUCUCCUGCUAAUUGUAGCAAUUAGCAUUAGAGAAUGGGGACUCGAUGGGGGGCCAGCGCCUGGCAAAACAAGCUUAUUCCCAGCUUAGGCCCAGGCCCAGCUCCACACACUGCUGCUUGGCCAGACUCGGCCCCCACCCAGGGUCUGGUUGGCUUCAGGGCAGGGAGAGAGGGCCCAGGCCUGUGGGUGCUAAGAGCAGUUGUGGAGGGUGUGCAUCUGAGUUGUUAAGCCUGGUAGCUGUACAGGUAGCCCUGGGCUAUGACUUGUGGUCCUCUCAGAAAAGGGUCUGACUGGAACGCAGAGCCAGACCAGAUAUUCAUGAGUGGAUCACAGAGUGUAGACUGAGGGCUAUCUGGUGAUUGACAGAAAGUAGUCUUGGGGCAAAUGACUCUUAAAGAGUAAGGAGCCAUUCCCCUCUAUGGCUAACUGGAUGCCUUUCUCUCCCCCUGCUCCAGAAAGGACUUCCUGUUCCUUCACUGAGCGUGCUUGCUUAUGAGGCUUCUGGAAACCAGGAGAGUUCAGUGGGCCUCAUUAUUGAGCGUAUGGGCAGGACAACCUGCUUGGGACAUAGGCCAUGCUACAGUUGAUUUUAGCCAGCUUGCUGCAUCUACACAGCACAGUGCCUUCCCAGGCAGUGAAUUAUGUCUAACAGGCAGGGGAAUGAUCAUUGCCUCAUGUUAGGGAUGCAGUCAUUCAAGAAAUAUUUGUCAAACACUCAGCAGGUACUAGACCCUGGCCCAGAGGGAGGGAUUUGAUAGGAGCAGGGACCUGCCUACCCUCCCAGGGUUAGUGGACAAAGGGGAGAAAGACUAACUAAUGUUGAAGGACCGUUUGCACCCUGAGGGGAGUGCUGAGGCCUGGGAGCACAGCAGGUGUAUAGCAGGAACCCACUGGAACUAGCCUGGGGUCUGAAAAACUCCCUUGGGGAAAGUGGCAGGGGCAGGCCAAGGGCCCUCUGGUGGUAGGGAGCCUGUGAGCACCUGGGAUGGAAAGAAGCCAAGCAUCUGAACUACCAGAAAGGCAGCUGCAGGAUUAAGCAAGACCCACAGGUCUCUAAACUUUGAAAGGAUGUCUGUCCACUGAGUAGAUAAUUGAUUGGAAUGGGGCAGGGGAUGUGAGAAUGCCAGUUAGGAGAUGCCUGCAGUACAGAGAAAUGGUGGCCUAUCAGGACAGUGGCAAUAGGGAUGGAGGGAAGCAGGGAACCUCUAGAACUAUGGAUGGGUGAAGUAAGCCUGGCUUGGUGAUGGGCUUGAGGUGAUGGGCAGGUGGUGAGGAAGCGGGUGUAUCGGAAAUGACCCCAGAACUUCUGACUUGUGCCACUGAAAGGAUGGGUGACACUGAAAGGACAGGGGCCUUCAGUAGAGUGGGCUAUAAAAUGAUGGAGGCUGUGGAGAGGAGGUGGGGGCAGGUGACUGGAAUGUGGGUCUGGCUGGGUUGGAGAGACAUUUGGGGGGUCAGGGCCUCACAGGUGGUCUGGAAGCCCUUGGUGCUGAGGGAACAGCUUAGGGAAAUGGUUUGCAUAGAGAAAGGCACUGGCAUUUAGUGGCCAUGCCAGAAGGGAAAACCUGCCAAGGAGACUGAGGAUAGAGCCAGAAAGAUGGCAAGAAAGCCAGGAGAACUGGAGGGAUGGAAAAGAGGACCUAGGGGUCAUGGUCCUGGCAGAGGUCACAUUGGAUCCAGUGCUUGUGAUUCUCUGAUUGCUGGCAGUGGAUGGCCACUGGCCUGCAAAUGGCCCUAGUGGAAUGUCCCCUGCCUGUGUGGCUCCCUGUGGGCUGCCUCUCCCCUGGACAGAUGGGGAGAGACCCCUUCCCCACCUGGUUCUCUGUUUCACCCUUGGAACUGUGGCGGUAAAGAGGACCUCCCCACAGUACGUGCAGGGAACAAGCUAGGUUGACUCCCUCAGGGAGGCCUCGUCCUUGCUGAGGUAUUUCAUAACCUCAGGAUAGAGAAAUCCCCCCAACUUUAAUGCAAAGCCAAGCAAGCUGAAAAAUGGCCUUGAAUAGGCUGAGAUGAAAAAACAAAGAGGCUGUCAACAUCAGAGACUCAGUGGGGGCAGGGAGCUUCAGUGGACUCCCCACAGACAGCAGUUCCUGGGCUUCUAUGCCCAGACCCAGAGGCCUGAGCCCAAGAUGUCAGGAUGGGUGGUCACUGUAAGUGCAGUGGAUUGUAGCUCAGGGGUGAGACAUCGCCUUUUUCUUGUCAGCUCUCCUUCCUGAUUAGUGGCUCAAACAGCCUUCCGAGACUCAAGGGGUUAACUGCAGAUCCUCUAACUCCUCCACUUGCUAAUUUUUAAACACAGCUGAGCUCUGAGCACCCCUCCCAAGGCUGUGAGAGGCCAGAGGCCAGCACAGACUCUGCACCAGGUCUGCACAGCCUCCACCCCUACUGUUGUCAGGAAUCUGCAGGCAUCUAGAACAAAGGUGCCUCCAUUAUUUCCCUCACCCAGCAUAUCCUGAUACCUGAGCCAAGAGUUCACCCAGAGCUUUUGCCCACUUCAUUGAUGGUCUGGUGGGCUUUUGUUGACACAUACCCGUGACUCCCAAAUGAACCUUUCAGGUUGGCUUAAAGCCGCUGGGACCUACACAUGACAAAACCCAGACGGAAACAGUGGCUUACACUCCUGUGUCCCUAAAGGUACCUGUUCCUAACAGUGGGAGUGCCAGAGCCUGGAAGCUGGAAGCCAAGGAGACAGGGACCUCCCUCCUGCUGACCCCCUGCCAGGCCACAUCCACCUAAGGGAUUUGGGAUCAUACUCCAUCUUCAACCACUGGGAUCAAAUGGAAAGCCCUCAGGAAUUCUGAGAGACAGCCCCUAUACCUAUGUGCACUGACACACAUACACUGACAAAUACGCAUUCUGACACAUAUAUGAACAUGCACAUAUGUGUGCCCCACUCCCUGCCAGGAGGUGGGUUCUGUCCCAUCUUUGACAUGUUACUUCUUGUCCUUCCCUAGGCCCAGUGGCACUUUCUUUGUGAUAGGUGCUGAGACCCCCCCGACUGGGCCCAGUGGCUGUUCCCAGGACCCAGUCUCUGCUCUUAUCUUAACCCAGCUCUAGCUCCCAGGACCCCAGCCUUUCGCAGGGAGAGAGAUAGCUCUUUUGGUCUGGCACAUGUUCCAUGCCAAGUAGUGGAAACAGCAGCUGCAGGGCAGCCUCAGACUUGACAUCAUUUAAUCCUUGUGACAAUCCUACAGGGAGGAAGACACUACACAUAUGUGCAGAUGCAGCAAGGAGCAGCUCAGCCACAUGGAAUGACUUGCUUGAGGUCACCAGGCACUUGACACAGCAGAGUUUAGCCCAGUCUCUGGAGAGACCAGCCUUCCACAUCCUGUCAUGCUGGGGAGGGCUGCCCGCUUUUUGUCCCUGCUCCCCCAGUUCUAACCCCGGAAGAGCGAUUGUCCCUGCUGUGCCUUCAGCCCAGACAGAAGCAGGCUAGGAGAGGGGAGGAGAGGCAGGGCUGGCCCUCGGAAGGCUCACCUUCCUCAACAGUUCUCUGCUUGGGCAAAGGUCUUCCAAGCAGCCAGGCUCUGAGGCUAGUCACUGUCAUCGUUGGGUGAGGCAGCCUGGGAGUACCAGAAGUUGGAGCAGGUGGGAACCUUCCCCAGGGAUGGGGCUGGAUAGGCAGGGGUGGGUGCUAAGUGGCAGGCCACAACCAGGCACCUGGGAGGGCCAAGCACCACACUGAGAACGCAGUGCUUCCCCUCCCCUCCUAGGCUGCUCAGGAACCCAUCAGUCUCCUGUAAACAAAUGAGACUAAGUCUCUGGCACUCUAGGCCCAGGUGCAAAGGACAGCUGCCCCUGCAGCUACUCACUCUGCCCUGGCCCUCUCAGGAGGCUUGUGACCUCUGCACCUGCUGGCUUGUUUUGUUCCUAAAAUACCCGGAUCCUUGAGAAUCUAGAAGACACCACUGCUAACAGAUUUCCACAUCAUUCAUUCUGUUCUUCCUGUGCAAGCUUCAUGCUGGGACAGGGACCAUAAAACAAGGUGACCCAAAACCUUCAGCAGAAUGCAGGUAGGCAGAGCAGAGGUCUCUGGGAGUGUCAUUCCAAGGCAGUGUCUUCCUCCUCCCCUAUGCUCCCCAUUUCCCAAGAGUGGGCUUCUUCCACCCCACUCAAGCACCUCUUCCCAAGGCUGACCUAAAGGCCUCAAGCUCUGCGGAUAGGGGCAGUCCUGAGGUGGCAUUGAGUCUUAGGGUUGGAGUGGGAGAUAUCUGUGCAAAGGCUGAUAGGAACGUCCUCCAAGGGCUGACUUCAAAGCUUGGCCUAAACCACUGCAUCAAAGUCAGCAAGCUGAGCUGUUUGCACAGAAAAGGAGGAGGAGCAGGCCCUUGAGCCACCUGUAGCUCUCCUUAGGGUCUCAGGCUUUCACACCAGGGCAGGCCUUGGGCCAGACUACCCAACUUCCAGGCCGGAUGUGCCACCGGGGAGGAGGAGGUAACUGCCCCUCAAAACCCUGCAGCCCAGGGCUCCAGGAUUCCAACCCAGGGACCUGCAGGCUCCCCUGCUCUCCAGAUCAGACCCCUACUCUCAGAGCCCUAGGCCCAGUGGGUGACAGCCUGUGAGACAGGCCUGUGUGGGGUGGCCCUAGCCCCACCUCAGCUUCCAACCUGACCUUGCUGCAUGACCUCUGGCCCAGCCCUCUCCACCUGGAGUGCCAUCUCUCUUUGUGGGAUGGGCCAGGUGGGCUGUGUGUGGGGGAGGGCAAGUAUAUAGGUGUGGUAUAGGUGGAAACUGCCACAGUAACCAGCAGCAGCUCAGAGCCGGGCCACCCAAUUUGUAUGCCAGCCCCAGCUGGGCCUAGGCACGUGGUGUGUGGAAAUGAACGAAGCAGGCAGCCCUAUGUUUAGGAGGCAGGUCCAGAGCUCACCCAGGCACAGCACAAGAUGAGUGCCUGGCCUCAGUGAGCGAGCACUGGCUGCUAUGAGGCUGUGGUGUGGAACCUUGACACUAGGGCCACUGGCCUGGCUGUGUGACCUCUACCUCAUCACCCAGAGCAGGGCAACCAGAGGCAGAGCCUCAGUGUGGUGUUCUCCUGUGAAAUAGUGAUGGCACAGGCAGGGGCUGGGGCCCAGUGCCUACACAGAGGAUCAGCAAAGGAUGGCAGUUAUUGAAACCUCUACGGGGAAGUUCCCCAGACACGAGAGGAAGACCCCCAUGGAAGCUGUGUGUGUGACGUGCUUAGAUUUUCCAGAGUCUUCAUUUUCCUUGUCUAAACAGAGGUCAUGGCGCCUCCCUCUCAGAUCAAACAGCCCUGUAUGAGUGGCUACAACCUUUGGUGGGCUCAGUGCAGCCCCUCCUGCCCCCUUGCUUGGGAGCUGUCUGCAGAGGCCUAGGGAGCUGCGUGGGGUCUCUCCACCUCAGCCUGUAUCCCCACCCCCACCAGGUCCCCUGCCUGACUCCAGCAUACCCAGGCCCUAGAAGCACCAACUCCAUGGCUGCAGCUGAGUGGAGUGUGUGCCUGCCCAAGCCUAGAGGGGUGCUGACCCCUCCCUCGCACGAGGAGACAUCAAAGGGAAGCAGGAAGCAGCGGCCUGGCUGACCCACAGCGGGUGGGAGAAGUGCAGCCUCACAACUGCUGGGGAUUUUCCAUCCCACCAGGAUUUCCGCGGGACACCCCAAGUCCAGCCUUUGAGGCUCCUCAGGAACCAGAGUUUGGCCUGGAGCCAGUUGGGGCAGAGGAGGGGGGCCAGGCUGGGUGGCUUAGGGGUGUGGUUAGGCCUGCUAAGGGGCUCCUCUUCUCAGUCUCCCCAUGAUUUGCUGGUUACUGGCUUGAAAUCUGGGCCCAGACCCAUUCCAACACUGAACCCUGAGCUCCCUGAGACCUGGCUGGCAAGGACAGGUCCCAAUUUUUACAGGGGCCUGAGAGGAAUGGAGAAGGGAUCUCUGCCCCUUCCUUUCUCAGUCACACCUCCUUGACAGGGGGUCAUCAGAGUGGGCUGUGGUAGGUGCACCAGGGAAGGGACCAUACAGAGGAGGCUGGUCUCAAGUCCUAGGGUGCCUGGGAUGGCCCUAUUGAAAUGCUGCAGCAGCUCUUGUGCAGGCAGGGAUCUGUAUGGACAGCUGGGUGGACACAGGUGCCUACUGACCUCCCAGAUCCUUCAGCAGAGCUCAGCCCUGAGUGACAGCCCAAGGCAGACCUGGCUACCUCAGCCUCUGGCUCACAGCCCUCAGCCAGAGCCCUGAGAGGCCUGGGAUCUCAAAGCUGCAAGGUGGGAGGCCAGAGGAGAGAAGCCCGGAGCUGGUAGUGAUGCUGGCUGAGUGAAAAUUGCACAUUUCCCAACAGUGUGAUGCUCCCUAUCCAGCCUGGGCUUUUGGCAGACUUCUGUGCUUUGUGGAGGAAGCUGGCUCAGAUUCCUCCCCUCCCUGUGCAGUUUGUGUGUCAAGGUGUACUUGUCACACCCAACUCAGGAUAUCUUGCAUCACUUUGUGGGUCCUUGUCCCCCAGAGCUGGGACUGCUGAGUUUUAGCCCUAAGCUCUUGCUCCCAUCUUAGCAAGUCAGGGCCCAGUGUUGUCCUUGCCUCUGCAUCAGGAUGGUAAGCUGGGCAUGCUCCGCAUCACGGAGACCUGCAUGGACCUGGAUUGGGUUGCCUCUAUCUUCAGGCUGGUCACUGGGCAGACACAAACCAGGGCCUCUGGCCAGAGGGGACAGUGGCUCUGAGUUACUUGUGCUGCUCUUUAGGGGUGAGCAGGGGCUGCUUGUGCAUCAUAGUGUAUCACAGGGGAUGCACAUUUACAAUUGAAAGCUACUGGUCCUGGGUAGAAGUGGGGCCGAGUAGGACUUCCCAGCCUUGAACAUGGGUUUGUCAUCCAACUGGGACCCACACUUGAUCCAGCGGCCAUGCUCUGUGCAGCCUGGGCCUGAGGGCAGCCACGCUCAUGUGAAAAGUGCUAGUAGCCAAGCUGCCAUUCUAGUCACCACAGCUGUCCUUGCAGGAGCACAUUGCCCAGGGCUGGGAGCUGUCAUUUCCGUGACGGGAGUGAGACUCAACACUGGGUGAGGGUGGGGGUAUCUGUUGGGAAUUAUUUCAAAACAAUUGUGGAAACUUGGCAGUGGAGGGGCUCUGGGCAUAGGUAUCCACAAUAUCCUAGUCAGGGGUUGGGGUACCCUGGCUCUGCUGAUAAGCCCAAGUGAGCAUACUCCUCCCCCAGCUUGGAACAGGUGGGACGGGCCAGGUGACACUAGUGUGGUCUGUGGUCUGGCCUCCCAAGCCAGUGGCAGUACUGGGGUGGCAGACAUUUGCUGUGUGCUAUCCCAAGGCCUAAAGGUCACACAGCUAGGUUGGAGCAGGGUUUUGGGCAGGAUGAGUAGGCAUUGCUGUGCUCUCAGAAAGGCGAAGCAAACCCCAGAAGCAAGGGGGCGAGACAGGGCAAAGGCCUACACUUUGCCAUCAACUCAGGCCUACUCAAUGCUGGCCCUGUCCUUCCCCUGCCCCUGCCCCAUCAGAUGGUGCGAGCUGGCGGGGCUUAGAGUGAGCCCCCCUGACUCUUCUUGGUGUGGAGUCUGAGGCCCAGAGUGUACAGGCCUCAUCCGUGUGACCCAGCAGGAGGAUGGGAGAGUGGGCCCAGAACUUGGUCAGGCUCAUCCGUGGAGAACAAGUUCUUCCCUAGUCUAGUUGUGGUCUGAGUCCUGGGUGAAGCAGGAGGCAGCCUGGGAAACAGCCUCGUUCUAGUAGGAAUCGCAUUCUCAGGAACGCUGACUGUGCAGGGCCCUUUCUCACUGCCACCUGGGAGGAUGCCUGCCUGCUGGCCAUUUCGGCGGACUGUCAGAGCACCCUCCCUGGGGUCCCAGACCGAAGGCCUGAAGUCCACAUGGGACCCCUGAACUUCUGGUACCUGUGUGGGCUUGUCCCCUCAACCCUGAGUGGAAUGGCAACAGCCAGCUGCAACCCUCCUAGCUUCCUGUCAUGUGCUGUAUGGAAGGGCCAAGAGCUGUAGUCAUCUGCAGAUCCUCCCACUGCACCUGUAGGACUAGCGUCUCCUGUCUGGAUGUGAGCAACUUGCUGGUGGCCUGUGAGAUGGGAGUUGCACUGGGCUUCUGGAUAAGGGCUUCUCGUUCAGGUGACAAUUCUAUGUGAAGGAGACCCAUGGAAACACAUCUAUCCCCUGCCCAUGUACCAGGCAGAGAUGGUACCUGCCCAUGUACCCUCCAUGACAUGGCUGGGUCCCUGAAACAUCAGACAGAUCGAUACUCUGUGUGCAUGUUUGUGGGCAAGACACAGUGGCACGUGUGCCCUGGAGUUUGGUAAUGGGAGGACUGAAGUAGUGCCUCCGUGUGUGAGCUGUGCCAGCCAUCCCCACGAAGGGGGCAUUCCAUGCAGAUGGGGAUCCUCUCCAGGCAGCUUCUUCCACACCUGAUUAGCUCUGACCAUCAGACCCCCCGUGCCAAAAGGGCCCCUUCCCUGGAAUCUGUAAUUCUCACAGGCUGUCCCAUACAUUUUAAAUCCAGGAAAUGUGCUCACCCAUGAGACAGGGAUGGCAAGAAGAUAUGAAUGAAAAGCAACCAGUCCGUAAAAUUGGAAGCCAUUUCACUCCUUACCAGGUACAAAGAUAACAUGCUGCAUGGAUCAGGGACACAAACUUACCUACCUUAUGAUGUAGUGAAAGAAUCUAAAACUUUUGUCUCAGCAGACUCCCUGGAGGAAGCCAAUAACAGGAGGCCUUGACUAGGAGACCUCAAGCCUUGGAAUGUGCCCAGACCAGUGGGGAGGGAAGGCUGGGAGGCAGUCCUCCCUUACCCCUUUUCUCCCAGGCAGACCUACCCUGGGUUCUCUCCAGGCCCCUCCGCCUGAGCAAGUGCUCAGUUGGCCACUAGCUCCCUGCACAUCCAACAAGCCUUUCUUUCCUGUUCCUUCUUCAAGGAAGGCUUAGCCUCAAAUCCAGGGCCACAGACAAAGGACAGUCACUCUCCUCUGCCAGAAAGUCAUUUAUGGGACAUGGAGAAAGCAUCAAAUAUAUUGCUUUUCCAACACCUAACAGUGGAAUAGGAGGAAUAGAAGGAGAACUCAGCCAGAAAGUUCUGGAGCAUAGUCUUUUUGCCAAAAGAACACGUUUUCAAAUGAAAGAGGUGGUGCUGGGGCACUGAGGAAUCAGGGGGAUGGACCCCACUGGAGCUUGUCUCAUGCUGGCAGCAAGUCCCAGGCCUCAAACACAUACCUGGGCCACCUCAGGAGAGAGACUGCAGGGAAGAAAUGAGUUGCAAUGCUCCAGCCUAACCAACUCCCCUUUUGUUAAUCCAAUCCCAGAAGGUACUGGGUAGGGUCAGUUAACAGACAGCUGCCUGUCUCCUGGCAGAGUCUGACCAAGCCCCAGUGGGCGCUUCUCUUCCUAAGUCCUCUGGUGUACCCCAUUCUUCAAGGGAAACGGUCCCCUUAAGAAUCUAUGUGAAAGGGUUCUGAAAUUGCUGUACCAGUUAAUGAAUUAUUUACUCUAAACAAUGUCUUGAUAAAGGGGGAGGAUGAAGUUAGCUGAUGUUGACUAAGGAGAGACGGAGUUGCCAAGGAAAUUCUUCUAAAUGAAAAAAAAAAAAAAGUAAAAGCAGUCAGCUGGUUUUGUCUGACUAUGAAACGUGUCACAGAGCAUGCACCUUUGGCCAUCUUUUGCAUUUAUGAUUUGGAAGAGAGAUGUAGCAGUGAGUGUGGGGCCAGGGAGGGGAAUCCAACAAAGCCAUUCUGCAAGCUAGUGGCUGGGAUUUUGGGGUAUAGAGUAAGAGCAGCCAGCCUUAGAGGCCCAUGUCAUCUGGGCUGCCUCAGAGCUAAAGCUAGGUAACCAGAGGGAGUAAGGAAAGGCCUGAGUCCCAGGCUAGGCUUUUCACAGUUGUAUUGAGAUGGGAAAGUAAGGGAUGUUCCUUGCAGCAGAUGCAGGGCCCAGUUGUCUAGAGCAGUAUUUGAAAUGAGUUGGCAUUUCAGGGCAGUGUUUGUGAUGCCAGUCAGUAGGUAGGGGCUUCUACCUCUUUUUUAGAAAUGUUUACUCUGAACUAAGCUCUAUGCUUUAACAAGUUAUGUUUUAAUAGGAAAACUGUCAUUGAUGGAAUCAUAUGUAAUUCCUACAUUUUUCCAGUUACCCAUUCCUGGGGAAAGCUUAGCCAUUGGACAAACCACCCAGAGCCCCAGGAACCUGCAUUUGCAGACAGCAGUGGCAGGCACAGUGGCCUAGUGUUGAGCGGGGGAAACCUGGCCUCUAUGUGUCUGGUUUUGCAAACUAAAACGCCAUUGCCCAUACUCAGGCUGACAGGUUCUGGAGGUGCCAUGGACUCCUGCUCUGUAUCUCACCUCUAGUUCCAUCACAAUGCAUGAGCUGUCAGUGGGAGCCUUUUAAUGCAGAUGCUAAUACCCAUUCCUAAUGCUAGCCCAUCCCCACACCCUCCUGAGUUGGUGCGAUAUAUCCUGGGAACAAGAAAAUCUGAAGGCUCCUGGUCCUCAGGCUAGCAAGAGCCUUGCCUGUAAGAAGUGGGAGAAGGUCACCUCUCUCAGGAGGCAGAACUAAGGCUGCACAGCACAAGGGAGAUGUCUGAAUGCACAGUCUGGGUGGCAGAAGGACUCCUGUCCUUUCUUCCACACAGACCUGAGCACCUCUCCAGGUGCCACCAUUUUCUGUCUGGGAACAUCUGCUAUCCCCAAGCCUCAGUUUCCUGGUCUACAAAACUGAGAUGGUCUCUUCUAUACAAGGCCCCAGGAGGAUCACUGCAAGUCACUGCAUUUCAUGGUGCCCAGAUUUCCCUGCAUUUCUAGAAUGUCAACAGAGAUGAGUGGGCUCAAGGGGAAGAGAUUCUUUAUGACUAGAGAUAUUCUGGUCAACUUUGGACCCCAGCUUCUAUGGACAAUAGCAUGUGGACAUGAGCCCUGGGGAAGCAGGGAUGACUGAGCCUGAAGAAGAGCUCUCAAGCCUUACACUCUCCAGACCAGCCUUGGGUUGCCUGAACCCCAGCAUAGCCUUAUGGAACCCCUGCCAGGGUCCUAGCACCUGGUUUGACCUGGGCACAAGUACUCACUCACUCACUCACUCACUCACUCACUCGUCAAACAUUCACUGAGGGUCCGUGACAGGCUCCAUAUGGAUUAAGCACUGAAGAUAAAACACUGAAUAGAAACAGCCAGCCUAUACCCUCAUGCUCCUUGAAUGUGAUAGAAGGAGCCAGCCAGUAAACCCUUUACCACAAAUAAACACACAGUUACACAUUAAGAAUGGGAGGGGAGGUAUGUGAUUUUUUACAGCCCAGUCUUAAGCUUUAGAAAUUGGCUCCUCUGAGGAAGGGACAUUUCAGCUAAGAACCACAGGAUAAGACAGUCCUGGCCUGGGGAAGGGGAGAGAAGGUCAGGAGAGAGCUUGAUAUGUUUAAUACUGAAAGAAUAUUUGAUGAGCUGGGACAUCUCCUGCAGAUCCACGGCUCCCUAGCUUUGUGACCCUGGGCCCUAGACUCAAUCCCUCAACCCUUAGGAGAUUAUCUAUAAAACAGGAGUGAUAAUAUUCUUGUGUUAAAAGCUGCUGUGAGGAUUAGUGAAAUGAUGUCUAUAUUUGCCUGGCAAACAGGAAGUGUAAGUAGUAGUAUCAUUUGAAGAUUAUUCUUCAGCCUAAACGUGUGUUCAUUAUGGCCGGUGUGUUUUCUCCCCACCUAGAUGGUAGUGCUGGGCCUCCUUUGGAGUACCUUGAUGUUUGGGGAGCAUGGAUGAUAUGACCAUAACCUGAGAAGGCAGGGACUGUACCCAUUCUGGUCCUCCCAGGUCCCAGGGCCCCCACAGUGCCCUGGUGUGUGAUCAGUGCCCACAAUACUGAAUAGAGGAACAGACACAUGGGAAGCAACGGCAGCCUGGUCUUUAAGGGUGAGGGAGCACCUUCUCCUGAGAGAGGGAGAGAUAGGUUGGGGGAGGUUGGGUGGGGGUGGGGAGAGCGAGUGAGCAAGCAAGCUAGAAACUUCCUGAAAAGGGAAGUUACUCUAGAAAAGGGUAAGUUCCUUCCAGGCAUCAUGGGCUGGCUUAACCUGGACCAGUUUGACUUUACUAAGUCCCAUUUCUCAUCUAGGGAGCCUGAGGCCAUUAAGGUUAUCUGGUCCCAAAAUCCCCUAGAGCUGUCACAGGGAUCCCCAUUCUUUGCCUUUAGUCACCCCAGCCCCAAGAGCCAUCCUCCACAUGGAGUGAGCAGGGAGCUACAAGGAAAAGACGGUCACAGUUGGAGAGAGACAGAGAACCAGGUGGGCUGGUAGGACAGGAAGGUAUAGGGAGAAAGUGAAGCUCUCUCCUGGGGAGGCAGGAAUACUCUCCUGCUUCCUUCUACCCACUCUUCAUAGAACACAAACACUGCAAAAAUGACUUUUUCCAAACCCUCUUAGCAUUCAGAAGUAGAAUUGCUAUGUAAGAAUUUUUUCAUAGGUGCUUUUUUGGGGGGCAUCUAUUUAAAAAAUAACCACAUCAUUAGUGAAAUCUUCCAAAGUCUCUUUUUGGAGCCCACAUUUCACUAAUGUCCACAUCUGAGGAGGCUUUCAUAAUAAAAGAACACAUACCUAUUUCACCUAUGAUGGUCAGUGCAAUCUUGAAAACACUAGUAAAUAGUGUCCAUCAGCUUUAAAAAUACAAACCCAAAUUGGGUCAUACCAAAAUGCAAGGAUACACACAAUAACCUGGGUGAAUCUUCAGGGAAUUGUGCUGAGUGAAAAGAGCCGAUCCCAAAAAGGUGAUUUGCUAUGUGGUUCCAUUUAUAUAAUUUUCUUGGAAUGAUAAAGAAAUGAAGAAUAGGUUAGUAGUUGUCAGGGGCUAAGGACAGGGUAGGGUGGGAGGGAAUUGGGGGUAGCUAUAAAAGGGGGACAUGAGGGAUUCUUGAAGAGUUAGAAAUGUCCUGUAGUGAGACUAUCAAUGCAAUAUCCUGGUCAGAAUAUUGUACUACAGUUUUGCAAGAUGUUACUAUCGGGGGAGACUAGGUAAAGGAGUAUGUAAGAUUUCUCUGUGUUGUUUCUUAGAACUGCAUGAGAAAUGUACAAUUAUCUCAAAAUAAAAAUUUAUUUUAAAAAAUGCCCAAAUUAAAAAAAAAUCAGUAGUCCUCCUAAAAAUACCCAGAAAUGAAUUUUAGAAUGUCCAAAAUCCAUACAAAGAUCUAAAAAAAUAUGGAAGGAUGUUGCAAUGGAUUUGAACAUGUGGGUAAACUGCUUCUAUUUGUGGCUGGAAAGACUUUUUUUUUGAGGUGGGGAAGGCAAUUCUUCAUCAGUUAAUCUAAAUUGAAUGAAGUUUCAAUAACAAAUGCCAAUGGGAUAUGAAUAUACACACAGAUAGACAACUUUUUUUUUUUUUUUUUUUUUAAUUAGGCAAGCUGAGGCCAGGUGCAUUGGCUCACGCCCGUAAUCCCAGCACUUUAGGAGGCUGAGGCGGGCAGAUCACUUGAGGUCAGGAGUUUGAGACCAGCCUGGCCAACAUGGUGAAACCCUGUCUCUAAUAAAAAAAAAAAUUAGCCAGUCAUGGUGGCAGAUGUCUGUAGUCCCAGCUACUAGGGAGGCUAAGGCAGGAGAAUUGCUUGAACCCAGGAGGUAGAGGUUGCAGUAAGCCGAGACUGUGCCACUGCAUUCCCGCCUAGGUGACAAAGUGAGACUCUGCCUCAAAAAAAAUAAAAAUAAAAAAAAAAUUAGGCGUGCUAGUUCUAAGUUUAUAUGAAAAAAAUGCAUGUCCUAUAAAAUUCAGAAGUAGCAGCAGUCUGGCCCCUUGUGCUCCUCUAGCCCUCAACUGGCCUAACAGGCCCUAGUGUGCAGCAGGGACUAUUUUCCCAUCAUCACUGUCCACAGCAUCUGGACAAGAAUACAGAGAACGGCUGAUUUAAAAAAAAUCUAAUCUGGGAUCCUAUGCAUCCUAAAUAAUCUUAUGAGGAUGCACUUGUAUUUUUUCUGAUGCUGAUACUAUUCAUUCCAACUCGCCUCCCCAUCAGCUUUGUCAGGCACUGUGAAUUGCAUGGUACACAUGAUUACAAUGGAUGGAAUGGCCAUCAUGAGGUAUAGCAAUACAUUUAAGUAACACUGUGUCACUACUAUAGGACAGGCACUUUUCUGCAUACUUUAUAUUAUUAAUUUGUGUAAUCCUCCUAACAACCCUCUGAGGAAGGUACUCUUAUGAUUCCCAUUUUACAAAUAAAGAAACUGAGACUAAGUGACUCACUCAAGGUGUAGCAGGUAGAAAGUAGUGGAAUUAGGAUAUGAGUUCAGACUCCAGACCCUGUUAUUAGCCCCUGUCUUUGGCUAUGGAUUAGUAAAGGAGAGCACAGCCAAGGGUGGGACAGGCAGCUGUAGUCCUCUGGACCAGCUUCACAUGGAUGGGGCUGCAUUGUUACAGGUGGCCUAACUCAGACAUGGAAACUGAGUCGCUGCUGCCCAACUCAUGCCAUGAAACCAUUUUGGCCUGCACAGCUUAUAACAGCACUCUAGCUCUAGCUAUGACACUUUAUGGUGUUAGUGGGUUUUUUUGGUGGUUGGUAUGGAGGAGGGGCUGGGCUACAAGUUUUAGAUUAUGUUUCUUAUUGCGGGUUUUUAAAAAUUCUUGAAUUAGGCCUAUUUGCUCUUUUGUUCUCUAUUGAGUUAGCAAAUUCAGUUUUUCCAAGAUGCCCUGAAAGUAUGAUCAUACAUGUAUACGAAAUGGUCCUUGGGUCCAGCUGGCAACUCCUGUGCACCCCCGACCUGGAUUCUGCCUUCCUUGAAGUGAGCCUUGGAAGAAACAAGUGCUCAUGCUCCCUGACAUUAUUAGCUGCCACGAUGAAGCCUCAGUCCCAAACACCCCAGCUUCCUGUCUAACUCAAGAGCUAAUCCUGUGUUUAAAUCUUAAGAGUGUUUAGAUCUUAGGCCAUGCCAUGAAUUCCCCUGGUUGACUGCAUUUGUGAAAAUGAGCUUCCCAUUAUUGGCUCUUAAGUAAUGGAGAUGAGGGGGAGUCCUGCUACACAGAUAAGUGCAUCAUAAAGUUACAUAAUUAAAAUAACUGAGCUCUGGCCUAUCAACAGGCCCAUCAGCAGUCCAGAAUAGAGUCUAGAAAUGGACACAAAUUAAAUGAGAGUUUGAAAUAUGAUAAAGGUAGCAGUUGAAAUUAGUAGAGAGAUGAUGAUGUACUCAAAUAAAUAGUGUUGGACAACUGGACAAAUAUAUGGGAAACCAAAUUGGAUUUAAUUACUCUGUCAAAAUCCCGAUAAAGCAAGGAUUUAAAUGUAAAAAAUGAAAUAAAAAAUGAUAGAAGAAAACAUGGAAGAAUUUAUUAAAACAAUUUCAGGAUGAGAGGUUAUUUCAGAAUUUAAGAUAAGGACCUCAAACCAUAAAAGACUGACACAGCUGACUAUGUGAAAUUAAAAAAAUUCUGCCACCAGAAAAAUAUUAUAGAAAAAGCCAAAACACCUAAGGAAAAUGAGGAUAAAAUAUUUUCAAUGAAUAUGACAAAGCAAGUUUCUACAAAUCAGUAAGACAAGGUAUUUUACAAAGUCCAAAGGGUAUGAAGAAAUAGUUCACAAGAAAGAAAAACAAAUGAUUUUAAGCAUUUGGAAAGAUAAAAACCUCAUUUCCAACAAAAGAAAUGUAAAUUAAAGCUCCAGUGUACCAUUUCUCAUCUAUGAAAUGAAUGAAGAUAAAAACCUGAGUAUACACUUGGUAAGGGUGGGGGAAGAAAGUGCAUUUGUGCAGUCAAAGUGAUGUAAAUGGUACAGCCCUUAUUUGGCAGUAUCUAUCACAACAUAAAUGAACAUUUUAAUCCUGCUGGAAAUGGGGGGAAAGGGAGGAUCUCUUAAAGUAAAUCCACUGAAAACGGAGACCAAAAUUUUACAAUAGAGAUAUUUGAUUGGGAAGUUAAUUUGAAAAAUAACAGUAGUUAAAAUAUUAUUUUAUCUCAUAUGCAAUAACAGUUGUUAGAGUUACAAUUAUGUACACGUUUUAGAAAAAAACAAAUCCAGAGGGGAUUUUGGUUUGUCUUUUGUAAAGCAUUAUAUGGUAACAUCUGAGGGCAUCUUUUAUACUUGGCAGAGGAUGUUGGCAGCACUUCCACAGAGAGGAUCAUUUUUUGUAGAAGUAUGGCAUGGUUUCACUGCUUGACCAAGAGGCCACCUGCAUCAAUUAUCAUCUCCCCUGCUGUCCUCUGAAAUGCUUAUCUAGGCAUCGAUCUUGGUUUCCUCUUCAACUGAUUAACUAACUGGUCUACUCUGCCCAGUCUCUAUUUGAGAAAUCAUUUGACAUCAUUUUCUUUAACUUGAUGAAAUCUCCUAUUUUGACAAGAUUUACAGUUCCUCUUUAUAAGUUCCUCUUUACUUUGUGUGUGCUUUAUAUUGUCUUUGGUUGACAAGAGACAGCCAAAGAGGUCAGUCAGCAGAGAUACAAGUAGGGAUAAGAUGGAUAGGGAGAAACAACAGUGUUCAAUAGGGAGGGAUGUUUCAGGGAAACUAAUUUCAUAAGUGGUCAUUUCAGUAGUGAAUAUAUUUGAAUGGUUAAUGGCUGCUGUUUUUUAGCUGCCCUACAUAUCCAUCAACAGAGGAUCUGUUCCAUAAAUCAUGGCACAAUGAAACUCUGCAGCUGUUAAUGAAAAGGAGAUUUGCUAGAUGUCUUAAUACAGAUCCAUCUCCAGAACAUACCAGUGUCUUCCUUUUAAGUGGUGCACACUGGGGCUGAACACUUACUAAGAAAUGAAAGGGCUCCCCAGUCAAAGCUGACAGGUGUCAUUACAACAUGACCCCUGUGGUAGAUCCCAGCACAAUACACUGGCCAUCACUCCAUUCUCUUCAAAUGUCCUAGGGUUGCUUCAUACAGCAGACCAUCGUACCCAAAGCCACUAUGCAUAUGACUUGGUUAUCUCCUGCCAGGCUGUAGUCCAGUUAGUGCUCCCUUGGAAAUACUCAAGACCUUAAUGAACUAUCUAUCUGUGAAUCUGUGAAGCUACCCAUUUCUUAGAGGCCUCUUUGGAGAGCUGGCUGUUGAAUACCCAGUAUGAUGGUCCUUAGCCUUCUUAGACCUUUCCUGUACCACUACCUCUAUGCCUUUUGCCAAGUCCAAGUGUUCACCAGAAAUGGAACUGAUGCCAGAAAGACUACAGCUAACAAUCUGAGCAGAACAGUGAGCAUGUCCUAUCUGGGAAAAGCCCAGCCCAUUGGGCUAAAUCUCUAGCUGAACACAGAGACUAUGCUCCUUCCAAUUAUACUGGAAGCCCAACCAUGAGAAAACAGCACUUCAACUACACUGUUCAGAGCCAUCACCUGUUCACACGUGUGUCUGUAUACAUGUAAACACACAUUUUGCAAUAAAAAUGCUUCUCAGAUGUACUGCACCAUAAUAAAUCAGCAUUGUAUGUACAGCUCAAAAAGAAGUAUGGCAUACCUAUGGAAGAAGUCAAAGGCAAAGUGUAGAAAAAUACAUACAGUAUGCUACCAUUUGUAUAAAAAGGAGCCGUAUCUACUAAGUACAUGCACACACAGACACACGUAUAUUUGUUUAUAUAAAAUACGUCUGGAAAGAUGCAAUAGGAAAGUGUUGAGUGGUAACCUUUAGGGAAGGAAACUUGGGAAUUAGGGUUGGGUGGGGAGAGUGUUAUUUUUCACCCCUUUUGUACUCUGAAUUGGUUUUACCAUGUGUGUAAAGACUGUUGUAUGAUUUUUGUAGCACAACCCUUGAAUACAUAAAGCACGAUUGGCUCCCCAGAAGGCAGGUGUUGGCCAGGCAGUGGAUGCACGGUAGGGCAGUGUGCAGCCCUGCAUGCACGUGGCUGGUAUGCCCUGCGGGCAGCAGCUCCCCGCACACAGUGCUGUGAGUCUCUGGUUCAUGUCACUCUGUGGAGCAGGGGCUGCUCCAGCACAAAGAGGUUUUUGACAGGGAAAGGCAGAGCCAGAGUCAGGGCAGGCCCUGGGCGGGCUCCUAGAGAGCCCAACCACCCUCUAAUAAGGGGUGCUCUCCACCCUAUCUGAGGAGCAAUUGGGAUCUCCUAGGAAGUGAAACUGUUACGUAUGUCUUAUUACAGAAUUUCCAGUGGAGUGAUUCUGGAAGAAAUGUGUAUGGCAUGUUGUGACUGCUAUGUCUCAUGAAAUAUUUACGUUUUUAUGUAACUUUUUUCCAUUUUCAGAUCAUCUUUUAUUUUAACGCAAAAUGACAAUAUAUUUUUCAAUUAAUUUGCCCAAUAUCUGUGUUUAAAUGUUUUCUAAUGCACACACGUGUUUUAAACUCAUUAAAAAAAUAUGACUUAGAUCCCAUCCCACUUUCAUGUUUUAUAUUGCCAAAACUCUGCUUUUGGGAGAGGUGAGUUAUCUUCACUUCUGAAACAGUACUGCUUGGGAGCUGGUUUGGCCCUGGCUAUUCUGGGGAAAUGACACAAUAUUGACCUAGAGGGGCCCUAAUCUUUCCCCGCUAGAGCACUACCUCUAAUAGGGUGAAGGAUGGGAGAAAGAGGCUAGUGAACCCACCUUCAGGUCUGUCCACUCAGGACAUGCCCACACUAGCCUCUCCAGGGGCUCUGCCCUUGGCAUCCCCGUCCCCCACCUGGGCUCUGGCAGAGAAGUCAGGCGGGAAGAAGCCGGCUGAGUGCCCGCCACUGUAAGAGGAAACGAAGAGAAACAGCUCCAGUCAGCCCCAGAAGCGAGGCCUGGAAAAACUCUGCAGCUGGAGCUAACACAAAGGACUUUUCAGACCCUGCAGCCAAGGUGCCCAGUGAGCUUUUUUUUUUUUUUUUUUUUUUUUUUUUAAAAAACAGCUAUUAGGGUGACAAGCCUUUCCAAAGGCCAGCAGUUGGCGAGAGUUUCCAGGAAGCUGGUCUGGCACUGGGCUGGGAUUGGAGCAACUUUAACGAGUUAAGUUCAGAAGGAAGGAGUCAUCAGGAAAGGUUUAAGGUUCAACAAACUUUUCAAAUUAUUUUGCAAAAAGUUCUGGCUUUCCAAUUCAAAGGCAUGUUUCGCUGUGACUGUUUUAAGCCAGAGCCUAUUUAAAAGGCAACACAACUAGCAUGCUUCAGAUUCACUCACUCGAGGUAUUUGUCUAAAUCCUCCGAAUGGGCUUUGCAAGUGCCAUCUAGUGCCUAGUAACACUGGGGCCAUCUUACACAUCUCGACAGGCAGCCCUCCUCCCCACGUGCCUCCCCCCAGCCUCUGUGGUCGUGUGCGCGCGGGCGCGCACACACACACGCACGCAUGCACCUUCCCUAAGCAGGAAGCUGCUCUUUGCCAAGAGCGAAUGGAAUUCAGAUUUCCAGAGGGUGUCCUUGGCCUCCAGCUCUACGGCUGCAUGAUGAAGAAAGGUCCUAGUGUGUGUGCCGGGGGCUGGGAGAGAGGGGCCUCCAGCUCUGCUCACAUCUAUCUGGGCCCCAAGAAAAACCCACAACUGGCUGUGCUCUCCCCAGCCACACCCAGCCUUGGUCACAUUCCUUCCCUUCCUGAGCCCACACUGGGUGGCCCCGGCAAACCAGCUUCCACACCUCCCUCCCCACCGGCAGGGAGACCUAGCCCAAGCCCCCAUGGGGCAGCCAGCAAGUACAAAUGAGGGGCUGCACCCCAGGCCCAAAGAGCCAGAAAGCACGGAGGGCCCUCCCCCCACCCCACCCCCAAUGCUGGGCAUCCCCUUGUGGCUGCUGUCACUCAUGGGGAAAGAGACACACUCCCUUGUCUAGCACCCGGUGAGCUGAGCUCCCAUCCCUUCCUGUGCCUGCUUUCAGGAAGUCCCUCUUCAUAUCCAACCUUGACUCUCCUGGCUGUGGUGCUUGUGGGCCUGGGAUUGAAGGGCCAUCACUGCCCUUUGCACCAGAGCUUCCCAACAUACCAGCAAGAAGGGACUGUACCCCUUCCCCUGUCCAGUCUGGGCCUUCCAAGCCCUGAGAUUCAGCAACCUCAGGAAUUAAACAUUUAUAGGAAAACACCUAUGCAGACAAGGGACAUGAGUCAGGGUGGUCAUCAGCAGUAGCAAGGUGGGUAGGCUGGUCACGUUUAGCUUCUCUUUAGCCCAAGUAAUAGGGUCUUCCACCUGCAUGGCCAGGGAGGGGAUAGGCUGAGAGCAAUCUUUCUACAGGCUGUCAGCAUCAACAAGUGGUUGUGAUGAGCAGGAGUCUGUAUGGCUUUUCAGGUGUUCCGGCUCAAGGAGGCCCAACACCAAGUUGGAACCUCCAGGCCUGGUGCCUAGGCAGAAGGUGGGCUAAACAAAGGCCAAGGGGAGCUCUGCUCUGUCACUUCCCUUUGUUUGCUAAUGAGACUGUUUCCAAAAGCUGGCCUGGUAGCCUGUGGGAUUGUUUCUCUCAAGAUUUCUUCUAGGGGAGAAGGUGGCUGAGGCUUUGCAGUCUGCAUCACCCAGUCCCCAGAAUCUACAGGGGACUCAGCUUGCCUAGUCACAGUUCGGCUUUUGGCCUUGGCUCCAGGGCCCAUUCUGAUCCUCGUGCUUGGGUCAGGGAUGGUCAGCACCCCUGCCCUGAUGCUGCCUGCUGGGGUCUCCUGCUGAGUACCGUGAAGGCCUACUGUGGCCUGAGAAGCCAACUUCACUGUCCCUUUUGGCCAGCCCUAGACCCUAUAUUUGUUCAAGUAACACAUUGAUUCACUGGCUUCUCCUUUAGGCAAGGCCUGCAGGGGACUCAGCUGGGGUUCAUGAUUCCUUGCCACCUGUGGUGGGCCUGCAUGGCCAGCCCAAGGCCUCAAGUGCCACAUACUGCUCCCCUGACAGUCAGGUGGCUAGGGUAUGACACUCAAGAAAAUGCCCAGGCAGAACCCAGAGUUGGGGUCACUUGGUCCAGCCCUUCUGAAGGGGACUGGUUGGAUCUGUUGCGGGGAGGAGACAGGCCAUGCUGGACCAGCAAAAAAGCAUAGAACUUGGAGUCUGGAACCUGACAUCUGGCCUUGGCUCUGCCAUCAGCUGGCUGUGUCCACUGGGCAAGGUCCUAUCAUAUCUGGUCUCAGUGCUUCCAUUUACCCAGAGUCCUUCCAUCACCUGACACCUACAGGGAUGCUUUCCCAAUCAAAAUUCAGGCCAUGUGGUUUGAUAAGGCCACCUUCCAAUGUGGAAGACAGGCUGGUAAUGGAGAGGCCUGGGAGCACAGAGCUCCUAGGCACUGCCAUGGAAUGUGGGGACCUUAGGGAAGGAUAUCUCAAUUGAAGCUCUUCAGAGCCCCUGGGGUGGACUGUUCUGUACUCUCAUCCCCUAACCCAUACCAGCCUGAGCUCAAUCAUAUCAGCCUGUGAAGGCUGCCCCACCACACUGCUUCUGCACCCACCACACCAGGCCCCCUUGAGCUCCCACCUGGAGCCCACACACCCAGCUGGUGGGGUUCGUGGGGCAGUUCAAAAAGAAAAGCAGAAAAAAGCAUUUGAGUAUUUUGGACUGGAAGGAAUUCAAUUUAACUUAACAAAUCAGGACAUGAACCUAAAGAAAACACUGAAAAACAAGCCCAACUUUGAAAGGCCCAAAGAGGGAGGAUUAGGUGGGAGAAGAAAGGUCCCCUGUGGGCAGAAGACAGCUGCUCAGUCCAGACCAGGGACCAGGGGAGGAUACUGGGCUUGAGUGCAGACCGGGCCAGGGUAGGGAGACAAGCCCAACAUACACUCGAGGACUUGAAGUCAGGGGUGCUAGCUGACUUUUUAGCCCACUCUUUCUACCCCAGAUACAGAGACUAGCUGCCUGAGGAAGCAUAGCGGGGCCCACAGGCUGGCUGCCUGGUGCUGCCCACCUCCUCUCCAGGGCUUGGCUCCCUGGGGCAGAAGGCUCAGACCUAUAACCACAGUGGGGUUGCAGGGAUUUAUUUGGGGGAAGAACCCUGACUGGGUCAGAAUGAUUAUGUGCAUGCAUGUAUGUGUAUGUAGCUCCUUGUUCUCUGAAAAGCCUUGCCUACCACCCUACUUCCCAAGUACCCUCUAUUGCCUUGCAAAGUCACCCCUGCUCUCUGCCUCAGUUUCCCCAGCAGGGCACCACAGGACACUGCUGUGGCAAGGUUUAUACUUAGGGUGCAGUGCAGUCUGAUCUUGUAUAAAUGCUCAGUGCCAAAGACUUAGGAGAUAAGUCAGGCAGAGUCAAAAUUAACCUUUGAAAAAUCCCUUGAAUUGGCCCUAAAAAUAAUCCCUUUCUCAGAUCUUUGUGUAUAUCCCCUGCUGGGUUGCUCUUCUGCCUGCUAAAGUGGGAGAAUCUCUGGGUGCACAUCCAGAGUACCCUGGGAGAGGCAUGCCAGGUGUUCCUGUACCUUUUUCAGGAUAUUCCCAGUGUCAUCUUCAGAGGGAGCCUCUGAGGCUGCAGCCACACAUGGGAAAAGAUUACUUAUGGAGAAGAUCAGAGGCUAAGGGGCUGGGGAUGGUGGGGACAUCGGAUUUUGAGGUCAGACCUGGACUCCUGUCUACCUCUGUCUCUCUACCUUUUAUUUUUCUUUCCUUUUCUCCUAACAAGGCCCUAUUUCUAAGAUGGCACCUCAGGCCUCCCAUGGGACCAACCAGGCCUGACAGACUAACUGCUCAGACUAACUGCCAGACUUCCUCCUGCUAGCCAGUCACUACCAAGGAUGUGUGCCUCAGAUACAGCCCCUGCCCAGGACACCUACGUUGUCCCUAACAGGGCCCACAUAUCUAAAGCAUGAAUGCCUAGCCAGGGGCUCUGGGGCACCAUAAGAAGGCAUGAAGCUGGGCCUGCCAAUUUGCAUCCUGGGAGGGCAGGUCAGCCUUGUCCAGGCAAUCCAGGAGGCUUCCCAGUGGCCCACUGGCCAGUGAGGACCUUUGACCUCCUUGGCUGGUGGCACCAGGUUUAUGAUGCACAUAGAGGCUGAACUUGAAGAAUUCUUAUUGCAGAGGGCAGCCACAAGAGCCACUGGCCAGUGCCCAGAUAAUAUCUGCAGACUGUUCCCUCCUGCUCCAUGGGCCACAGAAUCCCUUUGUCUUGUUACUGCUACACUGCCUUCCUACCAAUCUUCAGGGUUCAUCCUGGCCUCUGCCAUGCAUAUCCAGGCUCCCCCAGAGAUUGUGUGUCUGGGAAUGAGCCCUGGCUUCUGCUCCUAUCUCCCAGUGAUACUGGCAAGUCCCUAUCCUUCUUGAGGCUUCAAUUUCCCCUUCUGUGAGCUGGGAGGACAGGCCCACUAGAUGCUCUCUGAGGGACCUACCAAGGAUGUGGGCUGUGUGUCUCAGCCAACAGCAGUAUCUCCUAACCCCAACACAAGAAAUACACAUAGUAGGUGUCUGGUUAAUGCUCUUGGAAUUUCAGCCUAUACUAACCAUCUGAAAGCCACUGAGUCUGAACUCUGCUACCAUAUUUGAGAUUAUCUCUCCAUUGGGCACCUAUGGGUUGCCUAGAGACAAGCUACCAUGGUCCUCUUCCCUCGCCCGUCAUGUGCAGGGUCAAAGGCAGGUGAGCUACACAGCUCGCCCUGCUCUUCACUCUGCUUUAAUGUGGGUGCUUGCCUUGGCAGAUGGGCCCGACAGUGAUAAGAACAAAUGACAGAUGCAUACUGGGGCACCUGUGACUGCCAUGAGACACAGUCCACUGAUUCUGCCUCCAACCCCCUCCCCAGAGCAGAAUAGUGAGUGCUAGGUUUCCGCCUGUACCUCCACGGGACCCCAACAGCUCCUGAACCCCAUUCCGAGAUUUGAGGUUGUGACUUGGGGACCUCUAGACUUCCCUUCCCUCCACCUGACUCCAGACUGUCCUGGAGCUUGGGACUCUCAGGCCUCUAGGCACAUCUUAUUAAGGACAGCAGCUGACAGCCAUAUGUUGUGACCCCAUUUGUAUCCCAUGGUAACUCAUGACCUGGCAGUCUCAAAAGCUCUCAGGCCAAAUAAGGAAUGUCCCCACAGGAUCUCCCAUCACAAAGAGACAUUCUAUGCUGGCUAAUAUUUUCAGGCAUUUCCCCGAGUCAGGUAUGUGGCUGGAUGCCUAACACCAUCUCCUCAAGGCCUUACACUAAUACUGUGAGAUAUACUCCCAAUGUAUACAAGAGGAAACUGAGGCUGAUAGAGAUUAGGUGACUGCCCCAGUGUCCUGUGGGCAGGAUGAAAUGACCCAAGCUGGCCAGGGCUCCCUGACAGACCUUGUCCCUGGAUUCAGCGAACAUACAUCAAACCAUUAGCUGACAAGGAAUGAAUCUGACAAGCUGUUCAUGACCACCACACUGAAAACUACAGGGCAAGGUAAAAGAUAUGAAAGUCAACCUAAAUAAACAAGGGACACAUGAUGCCAUGUUUCAGGAGCCCCAAAACUAUAAGGAUACCCAUUCUCCCAUGCCCAUCUAGAGGCUGCUGCGCCUAGAGGAGGCUUUCCAUGGCAACUGGCAUAUGUAUGGUGAGGAGAAACCCUGCAAAGACAGCAAAGCCAGUGAUGGGGAAGGAGAAGCAGCCAGAGCCAGCAGGACCAGCUGUCAAAACCUGUUAGCAAACUACAGUGAGAAGGAAGCAAGGUCCUGGCCACAAAGAACAACUUGAAUCUGACCAGUGGCACCCAAUAGGGUCCAGAAACAGAGCCACACGUAGCCAGUGAGCUGAUUGUAAAGACACUGAUACGGCAGGGUAGUUGGGAGAGGACGGGCCUUCCCAUGCCGGGUGCUGAGCUAGACUGGAUAUCCAAGUAGGGGAAGAGUGGACCUUGACCUCGGCCUCACAUUGGACACAAAAAUCAAUCCCAGAUGGAGUGCAGAUCUACAUGGGAAAGGUGAGCUAAUAAAGCUUUAGAAUAAACCAGAAUAUCUUUAUGACCUUGGAGUAGUCAAAGUUUCUUAAAUAGGACACAAACAGCCCUAUCCAGAGAGGAAAUGUUUGAUUAACUGGACCACAUGAAAAUUAAGACCUUCUGUUCAUCAAAAGACACCAUCAAGAGAGGAAGAAGGCAGCCUGCAGAGGGGGAGGCGAUAUUUGCAAUGUGUGUGUCUGUGAGAGAGUGUGAGUGUGUGUAUCUCUCUCUCUGACAAAUGACUCCAGAAUAUCUAAAGAUAUAUAGGACCAUAAAUAAACAUAAAACAGGCAGAAGAUGUAGGCAAUUUAUACAGAAUGAUGUAUCUGACUAAAUGAUAACAUGGAAAGGGACUCAACUUCAUUAGUCAACAGGUUACUGCAAAUUAAAAUCACCAUUUGAUGCUGCUAGACAUUCACCAUCAUGGCUGAAAAGGAAACGACGGAAAAUGCCAAGUGUUAGGAUGUGGAGCAGCCAGAAUGCUGCCUGUGGGAAUGAAAAUUGGAAUGACUCCUUUGGUAGACUGCUGGGUAGUAUUCACUAAGAGUAAACAUAUGCCCACCCAGGACCCUGCAGCUCCACACAUAGGCAUAUAUUCCCCAGAAACGCAACCUGAUGCUCACCAAAAGCAUGUACAGAAUAUUCUUAAACAGCAACCUACACCAGAAACUGCCUGCUGGCCACAGGUGGUAGAAUGGAUGAAUGAUGUAGGCCAUGCACACAAUGGAGCACCAGUCAGCAAGGAGCAUGAGGGAGCACUCUCCCUUCAGCCCCAUAGAGAGGCUGCCAGACAUCAAAUUGAGUGAGGGACAUUGGACACAAAGGUGUAUGAGUUGCAUCAUUCCCACCGCAUAAAGUUCAAAUGUGGGCAAAGCUGGUCCUUGCUGCUAGCAGUUAGGCCUGUGGUUAAUCUCAAGGUCAGUGACAGGAAAUGGGAGCCUGAGAGGCUUUCUGGGGGUUCUGUUGCUUCCUCCGGGUGCUGCACACAUGGGUCCCAGGGACUGAAGAUGCCUCAAGCUGCGCACUUGAGACCUGUGUACUAAUCUGUGUGCAUGCACAUUACCCUUUAACUAAAAGUUUAACACCACCACCCUAUACCAGGGUAGCCCAGGUGAGCCUAAUUAGGUGGAUAGCCCUGGCCUUCAGGGCCGCUAGGCCCAGCCCCAUCCCACUCCCUCACUUAAGGGGACACGGCUUCCAGACUUCCUGACUAGGUCACCUCCGUGCUUCAGCCUCCAGAGGCUCUGCAGUUCAAUCUCCCCUUUCAGGUAUCAGCAGAGCACACAAGAGAUCUAUAUGGGAUGUGCCCCCCGCCCAACCCCGCCCCGACCCCCUGCCCCAACUGCCAGAAGUGUCUCCAUGACAAUAUCAGUGCAGUUGUGAAGUCCUUUGCCCUCCAGCCACCUCUGUGGCGUGAAUGUUCUCUCUGUCACAUCCUCCAACACCAUCUGCUUGGCUGAGGACCUGAGCAGCAUCAUGGCUGGGAGUUCACAAGUGGAGAGGGCUGAGCCUGGCCAGAGUGCACUGGGGCAGGGUGAUUUGGAUGGCCUUUCCCUUGCAGAGGAAAUGAGAAGCCUCACUGCUUUCUUCUGGGCCAUCCACCUAGACAGUGCGGCCCUCUCCCCAUAGCAGCAGCCCUAGGCCAGCCGCUUCUUCCUCACGUGCUCAGACGGAGGAAGUGAAGUUUGGAAAGGUUAGGGGGCCACGGGGGGCCGCCACAGCUGGGCUGAUGGCAGGCUGGAAGCCAGAUUGAGGGCAUCUGAUUCCCAAUCCCAUCUCUUUCCCACUGAGCCAUUACGCCUCGGUUUUAAUUUAAUUAGAAGAACAUUUAAUCCCCCCGUGCAUUUCAGAGACGGGUUUGAGCCUGGCUGGGGCUAUGUGGGGCUCUGACGGGGAUCCUAUGACUCAUGCAGCCCUGUACAGCCCUCCCGGGCGGGCCCCCAGAGGGCUUCCUUGGCAUCUCGUGCAGACAGAGGUGGUCUGGAGCUUUGCAGAAGACAGGACACUGGUCUAGAAAGACAAAAUGGUCUCAUCUGUUCUUGACAAGCCCCUCACUCAUCCUUCUGGACACUGGUUCCCAGAAUGUCCUUUCUGUCCUUUCCCACCAAAGUUUACAGGGAGAGAAAUAUGGUGAGGAGCUUAGACACUCACAGAGCUGCAGUGCCUGGUACCCUGGGGUCUGUGGGAGUAGGUCACAGUGGACCUGGAUGUCUCCAAAAUGUCCCAGGCCAAGCUGGUCCCAUCAAAAGAGCUAGCCCCUUGGUCCAUGAAGCCAAAUUUGGGGCCACCCUUGUGACGUUUGCCCUUAUUUCCAGACAGCACAGACUGGCCCUGUCCUUGCUGACAAAUGCAGAAUUCAGGAGACAUUAGUAGUGAUGUGGAUGAAAGCCAGGCCACAGCGGCCUUGCUGGAAAAGAGCAACUCGAAUGUCUUGGCGUGAGAUUCUGCAGGGUCCAGGAGAAAGUUGAAGACAUGGAAAUUCUAAUUAACGCACACGGGGCUGUUUUUGCUCAAGGAUUUGCGAAGCUGUCAUGUCACAAGAGGCCAGGCAAGCACAUGCUUGCCAGGGAGGUGCUCACAGUCACCUGGUGGGGGUCUCUGCAGCUUUCCCUCUGCCUUCUUUCCACCCCCUCUGCCCAGCCUCGGGGGUCCUGGUCCUCCCCCAUGCCCAUCUCAAUGGGCCGGGUGCUCCCUGAGUGUCCCUCUGGAGAGUGGGACUGAGGGCGGUAUCUGUUAACCUCGAGCUGGGGCUUGCCCAUCUAAGAUGCCAAAACAGAAGAGACAGGGGCCCUUCAGAGAAACCACAUGACUGGGCUGGGCAGAGCCAUAGGCUGCAGGGCUUAUGGGCCUGUCCUCUUGGGCCGUCUAUCUCAGGUAUCCAUGUGCAACCAAUGGGGCAGACGUGUGAAUUCCAGGCCAGUCCUGGCUGGCUUGGCAGUUGGGGAUGCAGUGUGAGGGAGGAUUUCACAAAAAUGAUUUCAGCCUCCCAGGGUUGCUUGGAGAAGCUCACCCAGGCCACACCUGCACACAGCCCCCAAGUUCAGAGCCGCAGAUCCUCAGGCCCCUAGCCCUGUGCCUCAGCACUGGCACAAUGUGUCUGCAGUCCUUGCUUCAUCUUAGGCAGGGUUGAGUGAGCAGCAAUCCUAGGGCUUCUCCAUGCCUGGGGCUUUGGGGGUUCUGGGGAGGAAGAGACCAAGAGGGCUAUACAUGCCCUUCUCCCUCCUGGCACCAUUCGAAAGGCUUAGGGAACUGGUACUGAGGGCUUUGAGAGCCAAAGGAGGACACAGCCGUACAGCCUAAGUGUGUCCUGGGGGGUUUACUGAGCAGACGUUGGAAAGAUGAAUGGAAAUCUGGUGGCUGCAGAUGGGUGACAAGGGCAUUCUAGAUGGCAGGUUACCACACGCAAGGCACAGGGAUGCACACAGGCAUGGCACCGUCCCCACCCACUGUCGUGCCAGUGACCCUUGGUGAGCAGAGGAUAGUGAGUGGGUCAGAAUCCCAGGAACUCAUCCUGGCUCUUGGGGUACAGGGCUCCUCUUGUCAUGGGGGUGCUCCCCAACUGCCCAUGCAGGCCUACAGUCUCUACUUCCCACCUUUCUCUCAGAAGCCCUGUCAUAUGGUUCUGGGUGGGAGACACAGGCUCAGGGAGUUUGAGGCUGGCAGGGACUCUCUUGUGCCCCAUUCAACCUAGGAAGACAGCUUCUGCCUGAAAGGUGUGUUCGAGGCUGAGUCCUGGCCGCCCAGAGCUGGUUGAGGGUCCUGAGGCUGAGCAGUAGGGCCCACCUAUAGGCUGGGGUGCAGCGACGCCACUCUUUAUCUCCUGGGUACCCCGUGCCUCAGCUUGUCAUGACUCCCUAGCUUGCAUCAGGCCUGCUCACCCCCCACCCCACCUCUGGCUAACAGGCCCCGGAAAGAGGAGCUUCGCCCAGCCCCAGGGACCUUCCCGUAAUCAAGGCUAUAGUGACCUCACCUCUCUGGGGCCCUGCGGGCGGGGAGAGCUCGAGAUGGAAACAAAAUGUGUCUUUAUUUAUGUUUUUAAUUUGAAUUCUGGAACUGGCCCAGCAUGGUAAUACAUUUAACAUCAGUAGAAUGCUGAAGAAAAAUGGAAAUGUUUUUUGGUAACUGCCUCCCACCCACUCUGCCCCCUGUGAGACCCCAGCACACAUCCCUGUCCCUCACACACACCAGGGCGUGUGCCUCUCUUCCCAGUUCAGGGUCCAUGGGGCCAGGCUGCCCACAGGAGCUUCGCUGCAUCCCUGAGCAGCUGGAGCCGAAUUUAAUUAUGGGCAUCACUGGGCGGGCUGUGCAGGAGGUGGAGGAAUGCAGCCCCAAUGCGGGCAGAAGACCUGCACGGCCCCCACACCCCUGCCGCCAGGCGGUUUGGGCCCUGAGGAAACAGGGUGCCCACUGCUGCCAGCCUUCUCCCCCAGAUGGAGUGGGGCCUCUACCCAGCCUGUAUCCCAGAGGAGCCUGGGUUCCUAGGCCCUGACACUGUACGUGCCCACUCUCCCCUUCAGGCCUCUCUGGAGGGACCGUACCCUGACUUCUGAGGAUGCAGGAACCCAGCUCCCCUGAAGCCUCAGCCCUGAGUCUUCCCUGACCAGAACACAAUGCCUCAAGGUGGCCCCUUUGCAGCAACCUCCUUGUUUUUCCCUCUCCCAGUCCCCUCUUCAGAUCCCUCACCCCAAGCCCCAUGCCUGGGCUCCUUCCUGCCUUCCCAGGCUGGCUCAUAUCUAGCAGCCACUUUUGGAACAGCCUGCUCUGAGAGAGGCCUUGGUAAGUUACAGGGCAGGGACCUGGUUGGGUAAUGACUGGAGUCUCUGACCUGCCUGGGCCCACUUAUCACUGGAGGCCAUGGGAGUGCCAACCUGAAAAGGCUGCAGGAUCUUGCAGAAUGGUAAUGUGCCAGACCCAAAGUGGGCAGAGAGCUUGGGGAUGGAUGUUCAGGUCUCUCAGGCCCUGUCAUCCUGGAGUGGAACAAGAAACAGCCCAGUGUCCUAGAUGACACAGCCACACUGGCUUGGGGUCACCCUUGGGCAGGUGGGUAACCUCUGGCUCCAGGGAGCUUGGCAUGUGCUGAUACCAGCACUGGCAGCCCUCACCCCCAUAGUGGUGAUUUACUGGGCAGCUGCAAGUUUGGCUGUGAUCCACAUAAGUGCCUGGUCUCUCACCACCUUCACCUGCAGGGGCCUUGCAAGACCCAAGAGUUGGUAAGGCCUGGCUGCCCAGCUAGAUGGACUGUGGGUGAUGGCCCUCUCCUCCCAGUAGGACUUUUUGCAUGUCUGGAUGCUGGUCCGUGACCAAGAGAACCAAGGUGAGCGAGAGCUCCAACAGGAGAAGCAAGCAGCCAGAAGGAUGAGAAGGGACAGUCCCCUCUCUGAGGGGACAGCCAAGAGGCAAUACAGGCACUGCCACCUGUAUUGCACACAACAUGAGCCACUAAACUAACACUGAUCACUUUGGAGGUCCAUCAUAUCCAGGACUUGGUACAGGCCUUGGCCACAGUGUAAGCCAUCAUUCUGCCUUCUGGUGCUGACCUGUACCUGGGCAGCCCAUCUGGCUACCAGCCUGCUCACACCUCUGCUCCUGCCUUUUUACCCAGCCAGGAGGGGCCCAGAAGCUCAGAGCCCUAUUCUCAGGGUGUCCAUGACUAGUCACCCCUGCUUUCCAGUGAUCUGCUGGCUCCCUUGGAGCCUCUUCACACCCUACCCACCAUGAGGUACUGCCAACCUCUCUGUGAACUGGGGGGGCCUGGAAAGACAGUGGGCAGGUCCUGUCUGAUCAUAAUUACCCCUUAAGAUAGCCACUCCUUCCCUGGAGGUGGCCUCAUUCUGGCUACCCAACCCUGCCAGUUCUCUGGUUACACCUGCAGCCCCCAGCACCAUGGGUCCCGAUUUCCUCAGUGAUUUGCAAGGCCAGGCCUUGCACCUGGCUGGCUGCAAAGGCAGGAGGCCCAGGGCCUCACUACGACAAAGACACACAUGGCUCAGGACAACCUCCUGACCCCCAGAGAGUCCAAAGAACAAAACACCCUUUAGAAAAAUGUUGGUAGAGAGAAGGAGAGUUUCCACAAGUGACCCUCAGAAGGGCCGCGAGUGUCACUCACAGAUCUUGACACAAAGACAUUUAUCAAGGGGAAUCCCCAACGGGUUAGCAGCCAGAAUGGGACUGUGGCCAGAAUGGACUUGGGUGCCCCACUGACCCCGCUGCACGGCUGUCACCGCUGGGCACCCCAGCGGGGAGUCACAUGUCGCAGGGGAAUCACACCGUGGCCGGGCACCGGGGAUUGGCCUGGCCAUGCCGUGACGGCGGGGGAGGACGGGCAUGCAUCCCAGGCCAGCUGUGCCUCAGGGGAAGGCCAACUGGAAGGCGUGGAAAAUCAGCCAUUUCCUCCACCUGAAGGAGCCCCUGAGGACAGCAGCAGCAACUGGCAGACUGCACCCGGCAUCUGCCCCAUGGCUUUGGCCAGGGUUCCAUGGGGAAAUGCUAAAAAACAAAGUCGUCUCUUUUUUGGGGGGCAGGGGAGGGGGCUGGGGGAGAGAAAAACAAUCUCAGACUCUCAAAGCAUGAAAACAAGUGGAAAAUGAUCAGUCUGGUUUUCCAUAAGUCAAAACAAGAGGAUCAUGUUCCCAGGCUCAGUGGGAAGUGCCCUUGCUCUCCUCUCUUGCCUGGUGCCUCCGUGUUGGGGCCAGGCAGACGGCAAGUGGUGGGCACUAGGCGAGUAGAUAGCACUCUGGCCAGAGAGCAAGGCUUCCCCAGCACCAAGUCUGACUCCUUGAGCUCCAGUCCCCUCCAGCCCAGCCCUUCACGCACAUGUAGGCACUCACUGUGAGAUGUGGGUGAUGGGUGUCAGCAGAGUCUCCCCUUCCAGGUCCAGGUCCUCGGCGAAGCUGUUGGUUCUCAUGAAAUGGGGCAUGCUCACUUCCAGCAGUGUUGGGCUCUUCCUUACUGAGGAGAAAGUGUGGGGACAGCACGUUAGGCCUCCCACCCAACCUGCCAGUGCUGUGGAGCCAGGCCUGUGAGCUCCCAGGGCCAGGUGAGGAGUGGAGCUUGUGCCUGGAAGCUCCAGCCCUGACAAUCAGUUUUAUAGUUGGGUGUUGGGGUGGGUGGGUGUUUAAGAUGGCCCCAAAGUGCCUGACACCUCAGUGUCUGAGGAGAAUAAAGGCCAGUGAAUCAUCUUCGGAGUGGUAACUGUGCCUGGGGCUGUGCUCAGGUGUCCAAGACUCUCCCCACCUCAGGUUCUGGGCCUCUUCCCAUGUUCACAACUGACACUUGGGUCAAGAAUAAAACAGAGGUGACAGGCACAGGCCUGGUAAGGGACAACAGCUCCCACCACCAUACAUUGUCACACUCAUACAUUGACAGAGUAGUGGGUCAGGAAAGAUGGGGUGAUAGGACCUCUGACCCAUGAGGAAUGGCAAGCCUGGGAGGUGGGGGCAGCCACAGAACUCCUUCCUCAAAACACGAUGCUACAUCAACCAGUUGUACCCCCAAUGAGGCACAGGAGUCCCUCCAACAGCUGGCUUCACAUUAUGAUUCCUGGGCCCACCUCUGCAACUUUGACACAGGAGCUCAGGAUACUGAUCCUUAUCACUCCCCACUCUCUGUUGACACUAUCAGUAUUUGCUCUUGGCUUAUAUUUGUCUUCAUUUAAAUAUUUUAUUGCAAAAGGAUUAAGUACUCAUCUGUGAGAAGUGGAAUAAUUCAAAGAUUCACAAUGGCUUUCCUCCCCCAAGGUCAUCAGUGUUAACUGCCAACUAGAUCCCUAGCCCACCCUCUCUGCUCAUCCGAGCAGCAGAUGCCAGGUGGGAGUUGCUUUUAUGCACAUGGGAUGUCACUGUGACUCUGUUCCUGUCACUCUGUAACAUAAGCUCAUUUCAUUUUUCUCUAGGUAUAUAGGCAUGGAUUUAAUUAUUUUAGUCAUUACAUAAUAGUCCACAGUUUAGAUUGGCCACAGCUAACCAUUCUGUAUAUCAUGGACAUUCAGGCUCUUAUAGUUUUAAGCUGCUUAAUUAUUCAGACUAUGAUGCCAUAUUCAUCUUUAUUCUUAAAAGCUGACAUACUGGAGCAGGGUGAGAGGGUGUGUCCUUAGUAAUUUUAAUAAAUGUUGCUAGAUUGCUUUCCCAAGAAGUUGUAGCAAUUCAGGCUCCCCCAGCUUUCCCACAUCCAUGCCUGAAUGAAGUGUUGAAUGAAGCCCGAAUGAAGGUUGUCAGCACCUUUUGCAGGGACUAUCAAGCAUGGAUGAAAACUGAGGCAUUGCUGUUAUUUCCAUCUGUGUUGAAUACCUUUUAUGGGCUUGGCAUCUGUUUGGGUUUCCUCUUGCAGAAUUGCCUGUUCAUGUCCUUUGCUCACUUUUGCUUAUCACUUUGUAGGAAUUUUCUAUACAUUACAGACAUUAACUCCUUGUUAUAUGAGGCAUAGAUAGCUUCCCCAGUCUGUUUUUUCACCUGAAUUAUGUUGCUUUUAUCCUAGAAAAUGUUUUAUGUUUUUAAAGUGAUACAUCUUUUGCUUUAUAAAAAAGGAAGGUUUUCCCACAUCAGCGUAAUACAAUUCUCUCUUAAAUUUAUUCCUAAUUUCACUAUUUGAAUGUGUUGUAUGUAUACAUAUGUAUGUGUGUAAAAGUUUUAAUGCAUUUAGUAUCUAUGCCUGAUAGGACAGAUGAUCAACAAUUAGAAAAUGAAAAUUUAAAGGGUACUACAUACAAACUUACUGAAAAAAAAUCUAAAAUAAAACAUAAAACCAUAAAAUAUCUUGAAGAAAACAUAAGAGAAAAUCUCCAGGACCUUGGAUUUGGCAGUGAAUUCUGAAAUACGAAACCAAAAGUUUAACUCGUAAGAGAAAAAGAAUCAACAAAUUGGACUUUAUCAAAAUUAAAAGCUUUUGCUGUGCAACAGACACUGCUAAUGGAAUGAAAAGACAAAGCACAGACUUGGAAAGAAUAUUUGCAUAUCACCUAUCAGGUCAAGGACUUGCACUCAGAAUAUAUAAAGAAUGCUUACAACUUGACAAUAAAGUGAACAAUCCAAUUUUAAAAAUGGAUUAUAAAUAAGCACAUGAAAAGAUACAUAAUUAACAUAAAUAUGGAAAUGCAAAUUAGAAUCACAAUGAAAUUCCAUAAAUUAAAAAAAAAAUUCAAAACCUGACAAUACCAACCACUCUUGAGGAUGUGGAACAUGUAGAACUCUCAUAUGUUACUGGUGGGAAUGCAAAAUGGCACAGUGACUUUAGGAAAUAGUUUAGCAAUUUCUUAUUAAGUUAAACAUACACAUACCACAUGACCUAUCGGUUCCUUUCCCACCCAAGUGAAUUGAAUUUUUAUGUUCGCAAAAACCUGUACAUAAAUGUGUAUAGUAACUCUGCUCAUAAUUACCAAAUACUGGAAACAAUGAAGAUGUCCUUCAACAGGUGAAUGCAUAAACAAAAUGUAUAUAUUCAUGCAAUGGAAUACCACCCAGCAAUAAAAAGAAAUUAACUAAUGAUUUAUGCAACAACAUGGAUGAAUCUCAAAUGCAUUUUGCUAAGCAGUGAAAGAAGCCAGAUGCAAAAGAAUACAUAUUAUAGGAUCCCAUUUAUAGGACAUUCUAGAAAAACAAAACUACAGGGACAUAAAACAGAUCAAUAGCUGCCAGUGGUUAGGGGAGAAGUACUUGACUUCAAAAGACUCACCCCAGGGUAUUUUUAGGGGUAUGGAACUUCUGUGAAUGAUACUGGAUUGUGGACACAUGACUCCAGACAUCUGUCAAAACCCACAGAACUGAAUCUCAAAGAGUGGAUUUUACUGUAUGCAAAUUUAAAAAAUUAACCCGGAUGUUGGAGGACCCUACGAUGAAAAGCAGACUAUGAUGAGCGUGUUACAAACAAAUGACAUAGCAGUGAAAGGAAAGGAGGAGGAGGAGCUGGCAUAUGUUGCUUUCAAAAACACUGUUUUGACUGGACACUCUAUGGUUAAAGCAAAAGUCUGUCCUAAACACUCUAAUCUAGUAGGUAAAUUUGCUUCACAUAGGGUACUACGUGUACAAUAGGGUUACACAAAUAAGUAAAUGAACUGUAGGUAAUGGGAGCCAGGUUUCUAGCUGUCAGAGAAAAAGCUAUAAAUAAGUUGUGGGGGAGGGGGCAAGGAUGAACUCUGGUCAGAAAUGUCAGUAUGAACUCAUGGUUAGCUUUAUAUAGAUACAGAUAUGUAAAGAUGUAUGUGUACUCAGGUUACAUACAUACAUAUAUUUCCUAGCUCUGUCCACUGAGAGGAGACUGAAGCAAUGAUACCCUAGUAGCCACGAGCAUACCCCGUGCCUAGAUCCAGGUUUUCUAUUCAUUCUCCAGGGAGCCAGGGCUCUCUGGAUGAAUGGAUGAUUCUAGGGCUAGGGUAGGGAAAAUAAAAGAUGAGCCUGAAGUAUUGUCAAGUGCUAGAAAAGAAAUGCUUAAAAAUAAAUGAAAAGGAUGGCGGGGGGCACAUCAAAAGGACACAUGAACCCACCAGUGGCCACAGCUUGAACAAUUUGAGCAACAAAAUAAAUAAUAUUGGACUAUAACUCAAAAAAUAAAUACUCCCAAAUCCACACUGAUAAAAUUAAAUAAACAAUUGGAGGAGAGGGACAAAUCUUCCUUAUAAAGGAAUUCCAAAUAAAAAAUGUAGAAGGAAUGAGGAAAAUAGAAGUACAUCACGGUAAUAUUUGCUGCAGGAAAACGAUCCAUGAAUGAAUGCUGAAAUUAGUUAGUGAAACUCAGAAACUUCACAGUUUCUUCCUUGAAAUGUAUUUUAAUUGCUGUGGUAGUUUUAACAUAUUUGCAGAUUUUUUUUGAUACUCUCCUGCAGGAGGUAGAGUUGAACCCCUCCCUUCCCCACCUUGAGUGUGGGCUAUACUUAGUGACUCGCUUCUAAAGACUAAGCUAUGGAAAGGGAAAAACAGCUAUUCACUUACAGUGGAGGAGCCUGGCCGACACCACUUUAAACGAGUGGCUCAAGGUUAAUAUUACCAGUGAUAAACCAUGUUGAUGUCAUGUUCCACAAUGAGGAAAGCAUCUCACCUCACUGGCCUCCUUCCCCUAAACCUAUAACCCUGGUCUAGUCCUGAGAAAACACCAGACAAAUCCAAACUGAGGGACAAUGACACCUGACUGGUAUUCUUCAAAAGUGUCAAGUUAAUGAAGAACAAGACUGAGAAGCCCGUCACCGAUCAGAGAUGACAAUAAAUGUAAUGAUCGAUCCUAGAUGGGAUCUUGGAACAGAAAAAGGACAUUAGUAGUUAAACUGGGGAAAUCCAAAUAAAUUUAUAACUCUAGCUUAAUAGUGUACCAAUGUUAAUUUUUUAGUUUUGGUCAAUGUACCAUGGUUAUAUAAGAUGCUAACAUUAGGGGAAGCUGGUGAAAGGGAUGUGGGUACUCGGUACUAUUUUUGUUUCUCUUCUGUAAAUAAAAAAUGUGAGGUAACAAGAGAAAACAGAACCUGUAUACAAUAGCACAAAAGAAUAUUAAUUAUCUAACUAAGUAUAUGCAAGAACUCUGGAGAAAAUUGUAAAACUUUAGUAAGAGACAAUGAAGAAGAUAUAAAUGGAGAAAUAUGCCUUCAUUCCAAUGACUAGAAGACUCAAUACUGAAAAGAUUAUCUCAAAAUCUGAAUAAAUCUCUCCAAAUCUUAAUAAAAAUCUCAAGGCUUCUGUGUGAGAACUUUGGCAAGCUGAUUCUAACUGCGACUUGGAAGUGCAAAAAGCCAAGAAUUGGCAAUAUUCUUGAAGAAGAACAAGGUGGGAGAACUUGCUGUACCAAACAUCAGUACUUCUUCCAAGGCAGUGGUCAUUAGGGCAAUGUGGUAUUGACACAGGGAGAGACAAAUAGGCCAAUGGGACAGGAUUGAGCAUUGGGAAACAGCCCACACAAAUAUGGAAGCUUGCUGUGUAUCAGAGGUGGCCUGCACAUCCUGGGAAGAGCAUGGACUUUUCAAUCAAAUGUUCAGGAGCAGUUGGAUACCCACACUGGAAAAACAUUAAGUUGGACCCUUAAUUACCUCACAUCAUAUACCAAAAAUUCAUUCUUGUCAUUCUAGGGGAUUGAAGACCUAACUAUGAAAAGCAUAACUAUAAAGGUCACAUGACUGAAUAUAGAAGAAUAUCUUAAUGACAUCAGCAUUAGGAUGGUUUUUUUUAAAAGAAGCAAUAACCAUGAGAGAGAAGACUGAGUAAUUUGACAUUAGAGUUAAGACCCAAUCAUCAAAAUACACCUUAAAGAGUGAAAAGACAGUGCCCACAAAAUGCAAAGGACUCCUACAAAUCAAUAGGAAAAAUAUAAAUGACUUAAUAGAAAAUGGGCAAUAGACAAAGUAGCACAUCACAAAAGAGGAAUCCAAAAGGCUGAUGAGCAUGUGGAAAGGUGUUGCGCCUGACUAGCAAUCAGGGAAAUGUAAAUAAACUCAGGAGCUCAUGGCCCGUGGGGGCGAGUGGCAGACUUCCAGCAGGAAACCACACAGACAUUACUUAGUCACAGCCAGGAGAAGGGCUCAGAGUGAAAGGGCUCUGUGCCCAUGACAUCCUUAGAGAGACCAGGGAAGGACCUGUAAGGCUUGAAGAAUGUGCAGAUUUGGAGACCCACAGGUCUGGGACCUGGCAGAAGCAUGUUACUGCCCCCAUUUUAGAGAUUUGGGGCUGAGAUUCAAGUACCCUAGGUUAUAUAAUGCAGUUGUCAAGUGACAGAGCUAAAACUUCAUCCAGGAUUCAAUUUUUUUUAAAGGAAGGAAGAAAGAAAAAACAUAUUUUGAUGUUUGCAUCACUUGUAUGUAGAAGGAACGAUGGAGCACAGGCUAGAACGUAGAGUUGCUUUCCAAACACCCAUGAUGACAAGUGCCCAUCUCCAAAGCCUGAGGGCCAAGGGUGAGCCACCUGACCCCUGAGGAAGGUUCUGUCCUGGUGUUUUAGGAAAUUAAAAUGUGCACAUCAGUUGGCUGCCCAGAGUGGGUGGGACCUGCACCUGCCAGAGAGGAAUGUGUGCUUUUUGGUUUAAUCCUGGGAACGGCAUAUGGGGCCCCUAUAACAAGGGGCAGAGAAGGCCUCCACAGAUUUGUUUUUCCAAUUCAAGAGGAGAGGUUAUUGUCUGCUGGCUUGUGUGUUGGAGACUGUGGGGCGUGCUUUCUCCACCACAGGGAGGCAGUGACCAGAGCUGCCACCUCUUCCCUGUUUUCACCUGUGGUCGUAGCCAGGUCAGGCAUCUAGGAGAGCAUGGAGGGGAGCUGGGGGUGGGUGGGUGGGGAUUCAGCUCUUUCCAGACACACUGGUGCUGCCUCUUUCAGGCCAGGGCUUGAGGGCAAGUGCUGUGCCCUAACAGGUCUUGCUUGUCACCCCCACCUCUGAAGUGGGUAUUUCACAGCCUGAACUCACAGCUGCAGAGAAGGUUGAGCCCAUGGUGUACUUGAAAGGGCAGUUCAUCUGGAUAUCCAGGCUCUGCAGGAGGUACCGGAGCAAUGCCAGGUGCCCUUUGCUGAACUGCCUAGAGUGGCUGGCCCUGGGGACAAAGAGCACAGCAUCCUGGUGACAAUGAAGUCACACUUUCCUAAGACAGUCCUGGUUUUUGAUGCUUUAAUUCUUUGGCUGCCUUUGCUUUGUCAAGGCCAGGAUCUGGGCCUAAAUUUUCAGGGCAGAACAAAACAAUUUUGUUUUCUAGGAAAGUGGGAGGUCUGGGAUGGCAAAGGCAGCCUCGGGCGUGGCGACUACCCCAGCUGGGGACGCUGGCUGCCAAGUCUCACCCUCUCAAGAGAACAGGAAUCAAACUCAGCACAGCAUCCUCCUUUCUAGUCAGUGGUCCUGCUCGAUAGGGGGAUUUGAAUUUUAUUUUUUUAAAAAUACAGGCACAGAAAAAAGACUAGAAGGAAACAGAUCCAAAUGUUAACUUUGUCUUUGGGUGAUUUUCAUUUCCUUCCUUAUUGUGUCUGUGUUUUCUAUUUUGCAUGAUACUUUUCCAAGUCAAGAAACAAUAAUUUGUGGAAGUCUCCUGUAUCUGUGCCUUGCUCUCUGGCCCACGACCUUGCACAUCUUAUCCUAGAGUUGCCAGAAUAUGUCCCUCCACCUGGCCUGGAGCUGCCCAUGAGGCUACAUAGAGCUCUCCUAUCAUGAAAGUCUUUGAGGCUUUCUGUUCCCAAGAAAUUCUGGUCUCACUUCCUCUGCCUUCUCAUCGAGCCCCAGACCCCUCCCUGCCCAGAUUAGGUCAGCAUUCAAGCCCCAAGUCCAGCCUAUGACAAAGCUCAAAGCUCCAGCCCAUCUCUGCUGCCCUCUGCCCUCAAGAGACUCUCGCCAGUGUCUGGGCCCUUCCUAGUAACUUCACCCAACCACUCACCCCCUGCCCUUCCCCUCCUGAUUGAUUAAAAUCCGGCCUAAUCUCCCAGGUGUAACCCAAGCCCUCUUCCACAAGCUUUCCAGGGCUCCGGAGAUUGCCCCCUCCCCUGUACGGCUGCAGGGCUUAUGUGUGCCUGGCGCUCAGCACGGGAACCUUGCCUUCUGCCUCACCCAUGUCUCCCCAGGGUUUGGCACAGGCGAGUUCCCUGAGCCAGCCUACUUCACAAGGAUGAACAGAAGCUCUCCCUAUCCUUUGCAAGUAGAAGCCCCCUCCCUGGCCCCCUCAAGAAAUCUCCCCCUCUCAGUGGAUUCACCAAAGCCCUGCGGAUCCUGCACUGUGAAGGAGAAGCCCUCCCCAGGGGCAUCCGGACAGCUGCAGCCAGGCCCUGCGUGACAUUGCUGAGCCGCAGCCCCACAGCCUGUGCCAGCUGCCCAUGCCCGGCUCAUAGACCCUGAGCCAGAGUGGCCCCGCCACCACCUGUGUCUCCACUCAGAGGCGAGAAGUAAGGGACAUGGAUGGAAAGUGUAAAAGCCAUUCCCACAACAGCUGCCAGGAACAAGGCGAGGAAUGGAGUGAAAAUGUAUAUUCACAGCUGGCACCCAGUUCCGCUUAGGAAAAUACCUUGCUUGAGUGGACACCUGUUGUUUUUGCCUGCCAGCAGCCAGGCCUGGCUUCUGGGAACAGCUUCUCAAAUCUUCCUUAGGGGGCUCUUCCUUUCCCACUCCUAGUGUGCAGUGUUUAGGUACCCUCUGGCCAUCCCCAAAGGGGUCCCUGUGGACCUUGCCUCAGCCAUCGGAGGUACAGCUGCAGGUCCAAGGAUGGCUUGUACCCCAGCUGAGGCCAAUAAGAACCUGGCCUUAGAUUCUGGCAGGAAUCCUGGAAGAGAUGACCUCGUUCUGCUGGGCUUCCUGAGCUGUUGAAUGCAAGCUGGUGGCCAUUUUGCCCCUUUUAGAAAGUAGCUGCCUAAGGAUACAGCCAUCCCAUGGGGCCAAUGGAUAGAGAGCAAGGGAAAGGGAGAACAAAAGAGGGAACGGGAAGGGAGAAGGGGAGUGCAAGAGGGGAGAGUGAGAGCAAGUGAGCAAGAUCAUCUCAGCUCUGGGGUCCAGCUGUGUCUGAAACAGCUGGGUCCAGCUGUGUGAGCCAAAAAAUGUCCCUUUUGUGCUUAAGCUUGUUUGAGUUGGGGUUCCAUCAUUUGUUACCAAGAGAGUCUUCAGGAAUGUGCAUGACAAAGUUGGGGGUGAGGUGUGAGCCUACGGACAUGGGCCUGGGGGCAGUCAAGGUUACAAAAUAGCUAAACUGGUCUGCACUGCCCCCACUAGUUUUCAGGGCAGAGGGCAGGGAGAAGGCUUGUGGGAAAGAAGCUGGCCUGAGGCCAAGGCCCUGGCCCUAGCCCUGCAACAGCACAGGGAACUCUUGGAAAGGGAUUUCCUAAGGUGGGACAUUGGCUUUCUACUGCUGUGAUGCAAGUCCUCAUCUCCCCAAACCUUCAGUGAGCCUCUCUCCACACCCUGCUGUAUGAGGAUGUUUGAUGCAAAUUAUGGAACAUGUUGGAUCUCACAUUGGAUCAAAGGUGUGCAGAAUAGAUUUGCCUCAAGCAUGACAGUGAUGUGACACAGUCAAAGAUGACUUCCGGAAUCCUGAGAAGUCCCAGGGAGGAUGCUGGGCUUUCCAAAACCUAAGUUUAGGAUACUGAGGACCACACCCCACACCCCAAACACUUCUCCUUAGAAUAAGUAUAGCAAGCCUCAGCAUACACAAAUCUCAGAGUGAACGGAAAUGUCUCUGCAGGCCCAAGGGUGGGGUCUGAGUAGCGGGGGCGCUGAGGAAGACAGGCAGUGACAGAGCCAGGACAGGGUCAACCCUGAGCGUGAGUGAGCCCAGGAAACGGAAAGAGAGCAACACAGCCACCCACACAACUAAAAUCGACCCACCCGGGUCUCCAUGCUGCAGGAAGUCACUGUCUAGGUCUCCCAAGACACAUUUUCAGGGGAAGGUUCCAGGCAGCAAGAGCAGCCCUAGGAAACUUUAAUAUACAAUGGAAUCUGGGUUAAGCACUAUCUUCUCCAAGAGUUGAGCUCACAGGACAUUCCCCAGAAACCUCUGGAGAGGUGGGGAGGAAAGUUUCUGGAGGUCUUUGGAUGGAGAAAACAAAAAAGUGGCCUUGAUUUUCAAGACAAAAUUACACAGGAAGAAAAAAAUGUUUUUAAUCUAAUUAAGAGCGAUCUUUUCACCUUCAUCACAACAUCGCGGAAAUGUGCCAGUUCUUAACUUCACACAAUAAUCAAAGCAAUUAGUGAGGGAGAAGCCUUGGAAACCGGUGCAGAUGUUCUCAGAAUGUUUAAUGGGGAAAUGAGUUGCAGGCCUCAUUCUCAGCAUCCGGCUCCAGGCCCUGGCUACCAAAUCCAGACAUCUGCUGGGGCCCCACCCCCAGGCCCCGAGGGCGCGGGCUUGAGAAACACAGGUCCCUUCCCAGGCCACCUCCCAGCCAGGCCAGAACUGGGGCCGAGAGGCUCCCCAUAGCUUCUCAAAUUGGAGCCUGGACACAGUCAGAGCCACCCCAGAACUGGGGGGAGGCUCAACAUCAAAAUUAUGUUAACAACUGAUGUCAAAAGUAAUCAACUCAGCUUGGCUCCCCCACUGCUGCUGGCUGCAGGAGGGCUGUGAGUAGGAGGAGAGCAAGCGGCCCCAGAGGGACCCUCGGCUAUGACCCCCUCAGCCUGAACACUACUUCAAGAAAAGAUGUGGUGGCAUCUGUCUGGUAUGGUCCUGUGGGCUCCAUUCCAAUGCUAAUGGACUCUUAAGGGGCCCAGGAAUCAAAAUGGUCAACACUUGAGGAAUUUCCAGUAAUCAGAGAAAACGUAUAGAAAUGAGGAUGAUGCUUACUUAGGAAAUGGCCUAUUACAGGAAACAGAGGGCCACGUGGCUAAUGUCAGUGAGCUGUGGGAGAGACAGAGACCCCAGGUGGGGCAGGCAGAUCAGCAAAUCUUGGAGGACCUGCUAUGUGGCAGGCACUGGAGACAUGGAGGUAAAGAACACAAUAUCCAUGUUCUCAGGGACACACUCAUAUGCCCUUAGCAUUCACGUUCUUCACACUGACAGCUUCUUAAUGCAAGCCCACCAGAUACUUUCAUAAGCACUACCUCUGACUUCAGGCACUUGCUGAGCUGCACACAGGGCAGGCCAAAAGGAAUGGAAAGUGAGCCACCACCGGGGCAGCACUCACUAGUGAAAGAUAAAUACCCCAGCUCUCUCAGCCGCUUGUAGAACUCUGAGGAGUGUUCUGUGCAGCUUCCCAGCUGCCCACCAUGAAGCUCUUUCUCAAUAAGUGACCAGCACAGCUUAAUUCCUGAAUUAAGCUGUGUGUGCUGUGAGACUGACACAAGACAGGGUGACAGGAAGCUGUCGGAACAUUUGAGUAGGGAAGCAGCAAGAUCCACUGUACAUUUAAAGAACUCCCUUGAGCUGUUAUGUGAAGAAUGGAGUACAGGAAGCAAGAGUGGAAAUCAAGAGACCAGUAAUGAGGUAUGGACAACAAUGUAGGCAGAGAAAUGGUGGUGGUUUUAACCAGGGAGAUAGCUGGAGAGACUAGGUGUGGGCAAAUCCAGAGAGUUGAUAAGACAUACUGAUAGAUUAGAAAGGGGUACUAAGAAAAAAGGAUAAUUUAAAAAAGACUUUCAGCCAGGCUUGGAGAAAAAUAGCAUGCUGCUCCUCAUCCCCUCUGACUAUAAAUCAUCUCACUCAUCCUCCCCUAAAAGCAUAAAAUCAGUAAGUGCAAAUAAAACCACAUGACCCAUGCUGUUAGCAGUAUUAGGAGAAAGAAUACCUUCAAAUUGCCUGUGGGUAGCAAAGUGAGCCAAAUUCCAAUAGCAUUCUAGUCCCCUGCCCAGCACUGCAAAACUGCAUACAGAAUCAGAGAAGAGGCUUAAAAUGCUUUGUCAAAAAGUUUGAAGGUAGUUAGCAACAUCAGCAAAAAUAGAGGAGUAAGUACCUCUAAGGAGCCUUCUUGCCUUCACAGACAUCCUAAGCACCAAGCAGCCUAAGCCACUGAUGAACUUGCAGAUACCACUGAUGUGGAUUAUAGUCUAAUUAAUUGUAGAGACACCACACUUCUGCACUGAACCAGAACCAAAGCCAAAGCACCCUACCCAAAUGAUACUACAGACGCGUGUACAGGAAAAGUCCUUACUAAGGCUACUCCAUAAAAUUGGAAGUCUCUGUUAUUCCAGAUAUGCAGAUAUCAACUUGGGGACACAAAAAACUUGGGGGGAAAAAAACAAGAAAACAUGACUUGCCAAAAGAACACAAUAAUUCUCCAAUAAUAGACUCCAAAGUAAAGGAAAUCUUAAGGAAACCCAAUGAGAUACAAGAGAACACAAAUAGACAAUACAAACAUAUCAGGAAAACAAUUCAUUAUCUAAAUGGGAAAUCCAGCAGAGUUAGAUAUGAAAAAGAACCAAACAAAAAUCCUGGAGGUGAUAAAUUAAAUGAAUGAAAUAAAAAAUACAAUUGAAAGCUUCAAAAGCCGGCUAAGUCAAGCAGAAGAAAUAAUUUCUAAAUUUGAAGACAGGUGUUUUGCAAUAAACCAGACAGAUUUAAAAAAUAACAAUAAAAAAGAAUGAAGAAUGCCUGCGUGACAUAUGAGACACUAUUAAGCUAACAAUAUUUCACAUUUUGGGAGUUCCAGAAGAAGUGUUGGGAUAAGGACCAGAAAAUCUAUUUAAGAAGAUAAUACCUGAAAACUGCCAAAGUUUGGGAGAGAAAGAGACUAACAGAUAAAGGAAGCUCACAAAUCCCUAAAUAGAUUCAACCCUAAAAGGGCCUCUCUGAGGCACAUUUUCAUCAAACUGUCAAAAAUCAAAGAGAGAAUUUAAAAAACAAGAGAGAAGCAUGAAGUCACAUAUAAGGGAAUCAACAGCAGAUUAACAGAUUUUUCAGCAGAAACCUUCUAGGCCAGGAAAGAAUUGAAUGCCAUAUUAAAAGUGCUGCAAGGUGGGGAAAAGCUCACAAAAUUGCUAGCCACAAAUACUAUACCCAGCAAAGCUAUCCUUCAGAAAUGAAGCAGAAUGAGGGAAGAAAUUUUGCCUCCCUCAGACAAGCAAAAACUGAGGGAAUUCAUUACUACUAAAUCAGCCCCACAAGAAAUGCUUAAGGGAGUACUACAUCUGGAAGUAGGAGGAUGAUAUCUACCAUCAUGAAACUACAAAAGCAUAAAACACUAGUAGAGCAGAUACACAAAUGAGAAAGGAAAAGGAAUAAAAGAUUAUCACUACAGAAAACCAAAAAAUUGCAAAGAAAAACAAUGAGAGGAAACAAAAGUAUACAAAUCAGUCAGAAAACAAUAAAAUGACAGGAGUAAGUCCUCACCUAUUGAUAACAAUCUUGAAUGUAGGUAAUUUAAAUUUCCCAAAUGAAAGAUAGAUACUGGCUAAAUGAAUUAAAAAAAUAAAACCCAAUUACAUGCUGCCUAUAAGAAACUGACUUCACCUGUAAAGACACCCAUAGACUGUAAGGGAAUGGAUAGAAAAAGAUAUUCCACACAAACAGACACCAAAAGCAUGCAGGAGUAGACAGACAAAAAAUACUGAGUCAAAAAAAAAAAAAAAAAAAAAAAGAAAAAGAAAAAAGAGACAAAGGAGGUCAUUAUAUAAUUAUAAAUGGAUCAAUUCAGCAAGAAGAUAUAACAAUUAUAUAUGCAACCAACAACACUGGAGUACCCAGGUAUAUUAAACAAAUAUUAUUAGUGCUAAAGAGAUAGACCCCAAUACAAUAAUAGUUAGGGAUGGCAACAUUUCAUACUCAGCAUUGGACAAUUCAUUUGGAUGGAAAAAUAUCAACAAGGAAAUAUUAGAUUUGAACUGCUGCUUCGUUAGCACACAGCACAUUCUCCAGGAUAUACCAUAUGUUAGGACACAAAACGGGUCUCAAUAAAUUUUUAAAAGUCAAAAUCUUAUCAAGUAUCUUCUCAGACCACAAUGGAAUAAAACUGGAAAUCAAUAACAAGAGGAACUUCUGAAAUUGAACAGAUACACGGAAAUCAAACUACAUGUUCCUGAAUGACCACUGUGUCUAUGAAGAAAUUGAUUUUAAAAAUUUAAAAAUUCUUUGAAACAAAUGAAAAUAGAAACACAGCAUACAAAAAUGUAUAGGGUACAACAAAAGAAGUGCUAUGAGGGACAUUUAUUUCAAUAAACACCCACAUCAAUAAGGUAGAAAGUUUUUAAACAAAUAACCUAAUAAACGCAUCUCAAGGAACUAGAAAAGCAAGAACAAAUCAAACCUAAAAUUAGAAGGAAAUAAAUAGUAAAGAUCAGAGCAGAUCUAAAUGAAAUAGAGAUAAAAGGUAAAAAAGACAAAAGAUCAAUGAAAUGAGGCCUCCCCCCCACCCCCCGAGACACGGUCUCACUCUGUCACCCAGGCUAGAGCGCAGUGGUGUGAUCUUGGCUCACUGUAACCUCUGCUUCCUGGGCUCAAGCAAUCCUCCUGCCUCAGCUUCUGAGUAGAUGUGCAGCACCACACCUCGCUAAUUUUUUUUUUUUUUUUUGGUAGAGAUGGGGGUUUGCCAUGUUGCUCAGGCUGGUCUCAAACUCCUGGACUCAAGCGAUCGGCCUGCCUUGGCCUUCCAAAGUACUGGGUUUACAGGUGUGAGCCAACAAACCCAGCCAAAAAACUGAUUUUUUGAAAAGAGAAAAUCAAUAAACCAUUAGCUAGACUAACCAAGAAGACCCAAUAAAUAAAAUCAGAAAUGAAAAAGGAGACUUACAAUGGACACCACAGAAAUACAAAAGAUUAUUAGAGACCAUUAUGAACAACUAUAUGUCAACAAUUAGAAAACCUAGAGGAAAGAGAUAAAUUCCUGGACAUAUAUAACCUCCCAAGAUUGAACCAGGAAGAAAAAAAAUCUGAACAGAGCAAUAACAAGGAAUGAGAUUGUAUCAGUAAUAAAGUCUCCCAGUAAAGAAAACCUCAGGAUUGCACGGGUUUUCUACUGAAUUCUACCAAACCUUUAAAGAACUAACAUGAAUUCUUCUCAGACAAUUCCAAAAGACUGAAGAGAAAGGAAUUCUCCCUAACUCAUUCUGUGAGGCAAGCAGUAUCUUGAUACCAAAACCAGAUAAGGACACAAUAACAGCAAAAAAGAAAACUACAGGCCAAUCUCCCUGAUGAACAUAGAUGCAGAAUCCUCAGAAACAAAACACACACACAGACACACAAACUAGCAAUCUGAAUCCAAUCGCACAUCAAAAAGAUAAUACACCAUAAUCAAGUGGGAUUUAUCCCAGGGAUUCAAGGAUGGUUCAACAUAUACAAAUCAAUAAAUGUGAUACAUCACAUUAACAGAAGGAAGGACAAAAAAAUACAUGAUCAUCUCAAUAGAUGCAGAAAAAGCAUCUGAUAAAAUUCAAAAUCUCUUCAUGAUAAAAAAAAAAGCUCAUCACAUAAUGUCUAGAAGGAACAUAACUCAAUGAAGGUCAUAUAUGACAAACCCACAGCCACCUGGGGAAAAGCUAAACACCUUCUCUCUUAGAACUAGAACAAGACAAGGAUGCCCACUUUCACUAUUCUUAUUCAGCAGAGUAAGAAAAGUCCUCACCAGAACAAUUAGGCAAGUAAAAGAAAAAGGGUAUCCAAAUUGGAAAAGAGAAUGUCAUAUUGUCCUUUGCAGAUGGCAUAAUCUUAUACAUAGAAAAACCUAAAGAUUCCACCAAAAUCUUUUAGAACUGGUAAAGGAAUUCAAUAAAGUUGCAGGAUAAAAAAAUCAACAAACAAAAAUUAGUAGGUGUGGACAUGAUGGCUCAUGCUUGUAAUUUCAGCACUUUGAAAGGAUGAGGCGGGUGGAUUGCUUGAGCCCAGGAGUUUGAGACUGUCCUGGGCAACAUGGCAAAACCUCAUCAGUACAAAAAUGAGCUGGGCGUGGUGGCCUGCACCUGAAGUUCAGCUACUCAGGAGGCUGAGAUGGGAGGAUCACUUGAACCUCGGAGGUGAAGGUUGCAGUGAGCAGAAAUUGCACCAUUGCACCCCAGCCUGGGCAACAGAGUGAGACCCUGUCUGCACUCCCCUGCCUCCCCCAAAAAAUCAGUAGCAUUUCUGUGAAACAGCAAAUUAGCCAAAAGAGAAAUGAAGAAAGCAAUCCCAUUUGCAAUAGCUACAAAAAAAAGCAAAGCUUAACCAAGGAGGUGAAAGAUUUCCACAAUGAAAACUAUAAAAUACUGAUAACAGUAAUUGAAGAGGCUACAAAAUUUUUUGAGACAUCCCAUGCUCAUGGAUUGAAAGAAAAAUGUUAAAAUGAUCAUAUUUACCUAUAGCAAUAUACAGAUGCUAUGAAAUCCCUAUCCAGAUAUCAGCAGGGGCUUCAAGAUGGCUGACUAGAGGCAUCUGGCACUCACCUCCUCCACAAAAUAUAGCAAGUAGGUAACCACAGUUUAUAUAGAUCGCCUCUGAGAGAAUGCUGGAAUUCAACUGAGAAGUAAUAAGAAAAACCCAAUGCAAGGGAUAAGAGGGGAGUCAGGCAGUCUGCUUCUAUGGGACUGGCUGGGAUCAUGAAGAGACUCCUCGAUGUGCAGAAAGGUAAGUAAGUGAGCCCCUAGUGGUCCACAUUCCCACAGCAGACUCCUGAAAUCCUAGUCAGAGAACCCCCUGACCCAUAGAUGCCUUGAGACUAACAAGAGGCUACCUACAGACUGUGAAAUGGCAAUGAACAGCUCCCAGAGAGGGAGAUCACCCUGAAUCCUCAGGCAAUUCACACAUCCCCUGAAUCCUCAGGCAACUUCAGGAAAGUCCCAUUUUGAUAGCCCAACCCCCACCAGACUGCAUCUGCUGUGGGCCCCACAUCCCUCUAUCUCAUCCCUGGAGCCCCAUGGACAUCCCUUACACAAAGCUGGUUGCCACUCCUGACUGCUCCCUCCAGGCCAAAGCAUGAGCCAUUGGCAAUACUCUGCUACCUCCGAAGCAAGGCUGCCAUGAGGAAAGGUGACCCUGCCCAUAGUCACCACCUGGGGCCGAAGCAUGCAUUGCCCAACUGCCUGUUUAUAGCUGCUGCCACUGAAAGCAAUCCCACUCAACUUCCCCAGGAGUAGGGCUGCAAUAGAGUUGCUGCUGCCCCAACAUGAGCAUUCAGCAGGGUAUACAGGGAUCUUCCUGUGCCUGCCUACCACAGUCAGUACAUUCUUGCAUUACUGGAGGGCCUCAGGACAGGCCCACCUGGCCUGGUCCCACCCUCUUUUCUCCCAGUGCCAGCGCAUACCAUCUCUGGGCCUAGGGAUCACCCUGCCCUAUCCAGUAUUGUUGGCACCUGAGCACUCCUGGGGGCUUGAGGACUGCCCUACCCAACUGACCAUUACCACCACAACUGGCAUUCACUUGAAUUUGCCACCUGUGGGCCUUGGGACAAGCUCAUCCAGCUUAUCCCAGCCAUCCCAAUACCAGCAUGGACACCUUGGGAGGCAGAAGAUUGUUCUGCCACUGCUACUGCCAUUGCCCAAGCCAUAUCUGCUGCUCAGAGCUCAAGGACCUACCCACCCUGUGGCCCAGCUCUGUCAUCAUUGGCACCUGAGCAAGUUGCCUGGAGGCCCAAAAUUGGUUUCCCUGGACUUGCUAACACUGGUACCAGCAUACACUACCAUUGGGCCCAAGGAUAAGCAUUCGGGGCCAGCCACUGCUGCCACUGGGGCCUGAGGACUGGCCCAGCUGGUGUCCCUAUCCCCAGCCAGACUUUACCACAGCCUCCACCAACAACUGCAUCCUAAACUACAGAGGAACUCCCAGACACUACUGGUGCUGUUUACAGCUGAAAAAAAUUCCAUGGAGAUCACACUACUGCAGGCACCCAGAAUCAAAACCAAAGUGCCCUGCCCAAAGAACACCAUAGAUAUAUCUUCAGGAACAAGACUCUCUUAGGAAAGACAGAUCAAAAAAUUGGAAGAAACUACUGUUACACCAGAUGUGCAGAUACCAGUGUAAGCACACAAGAAACAUGAAAAGGCAAAACAUGACAACUCCUAAGGAAUGCAAUAAUUCUCCAACAGAUUCCAGUGAAAAAGAAAUUGAUGAAACCUUGAAAAAUUCAAUAUAAUAUUAAAGAAGAUCUGAUAGACUAUACAAAGAAAUCAGAAAAAACAAUUCGGGGUAUGAAUGAGAAAUUUGCCCAAGAGAUAGAUAUAAAAAGAACCAAACAGAUAUUCUGGAAUUGAAUAAUAGAUUGAAUGAAAUAAAAAACAUAUUUGAAAGCUUCAAUAACAGACCACAACAAGCAGAAGAAAGAAUUUCACACCUUGAAGAUAAGUCUUUUGAAAUGACUCAGACAAAAAUAUAGAAAAAAUAGAAAAGAAUGAACAAAGGCUAUGUGACUAUAGGAUGCCAUAAGGUGACACCUUCAGUGUCCCAGAAGGUGAAGAGCAAACCAAAAGAUUAUAAAACCUAUUUAAUGAAAUAAUACCUGAACACUUCCCAAUCUCCCAAGAGAUUUAGAUCCAAAUAUAGGAAUCUCAGAACCCUAAAUAGAUACAAUUCAGAAAGGUCUUUUCCACAGCACAUUAUAGCAAAUUGCCCAUCCCAAGACAAAGAGAGAAUCAUAAAACCAGCGAUAAAAGAGGUUGUAGACACUUACAAGGGAACAACCUGCAGACUAACAGAUUUUUCAGCAGAAACUUUACAGGCCAGGAGGAUGGGAUUAUAUACGCAGAGUGCUGAAAGAAAAAACAAAACCAAAAACCUGCCAGCCAGGAAUACUGUACUUAGCAAAGUUAUAUUCGUCAGAAAUGAAGGAGAAAUAAAGUAUUUCCCUUAAAAGUAAAAGCUCAGGGAAUUAAUUGCCACUACACUGGCACUACAAAAAAUGCUUAAGGGAGUCUUACAGGAAGAAGUGAAAGGACAACUUCAUGAAAGCACACAAAAUAAUCAGAAAUCAAUUAAUGACAGGAAUAAGCCCUCACAUAUCAACAAUAACCUUGCAUAUAAAUAGAUUAAACUUUCUACUUAAAAGACAGACUGGCUGAAUGGACUUAAAAACAUGACCCAUCUAAAUGCUAUCUACAAGAAACGCAUCUCACCUGUAAAGACACAUAGUUGAAAGAAAGGAAUGGGAAAAGAUAUUACAUGCAAAAGGAAACAAAAACCAAACAGGAGUAGCUAUACUUUCAUCAGAUAAAACAAAGGUUAAGCUAAAAACACUAAAAAGAGACGAAGUCAUUAUAUAGUGACAGAGGGAUCAAUUGACCAAGAGGAUAUAACAAUUCUAAACAUAUAUGCACCCAACACCAAAGCACCCAGAUAUAUAAGGCAAACAUCAAAUCUGAAGGGAAAGGUAGACUUCAACACAAUAAUCUUGGGAACUUCAAUUCUCCAUUUCCAGUAUUAGACAGAUCAUCUAGACAAAAAAUUAACAAAGAAACAUUGGAUUUAAACUGCACUUUAUACCAAAUGGACCUAACAGACAUUUACAGACCAGUUCAUAAAACAGCUGCAGAAUAUACACUCUUCUCAUCAGUACAUGGAACACUCUCCAGGAUACAUUAUAUGUUAGGACACUAAGUAUGAUUUUAAAUAUAUAUAUAUUUUAAAUUGGAUUCAUAUCACAUAUCUUCUCAGACCACAAUAGCAUAAAACUAUAAAUAAAUAAGAGGAGCAUUCAAAACUGUAUAAAUAAAUGGAAAUUAACAUGUUCCUGAAUGACCAAUGGGUCAAAGAAGAAAUUAAGGCAGAAAUAAAAAAUUUACUGAAACAAGUGAAAAUAGAAGCACAACAUUCUGAAACUUAAGGGAUACUGCAAAAGCAAUGCUAAGAGGAAAGUUUAUUGUAAUAAAUGCCUCCAUUAAAAAAGGUAGAAAAGAUCUUAAAUAAUCUAAUGAUACACCUGAAGGAACCAGAAAAGCAAGAACAAACCAUACUAAACAUAAAAUUAGUAGAAGGAAAGAAAUAACGAAGAUCAGAGCAGAACUAAACAAGAAACUAAAUAAAUAUAAAGGAUCAAUGAAAUGCAAAAUCGGUUUUUGAAAAGAAACAAAAUAACCAGUGGCUAAACUAUCCAAGAAGAAAAGAGAGAAGACCUACAUGAAUAAAAUCAAAAAUGAAAAAGGGGAUAUUACAACUCAUACCAUGAAAUACAAAAAUCAAAACUCUUCAGUCUGAUCAAUAAAUUGAUUACAGUUACAGGAUUUAAAAAUCAGGCUUAUUUCUAUAUACCAAUAAAGAACCAGCUGAGAAAGAAAUCAAGAAGGCAUUAUCUUUUACAACCACUACAAAAAAUCUAGGAAUGAGUUUAACCAAAGAGGUGAGAAACCUCUAACAAGGAAAACUACAAAAGUCUGAUGAAAGAAAUUGAAAAGAACACACAAAAAACAUCCCAUUCUCAUGGAUUGGGAGAAUUAACAAAAUUAAAAUGACCAUACUACCCAAAGCAAUCUACAGAUUCAAUGCAGUCUCUCUCAAAAUACCAAUGCCAUUUUUCAUGGAAAUAGAAAAAAUCCUAAAAUUCAGAUGGAACCAAAAAAGAGCUGGAAUAGCCACAGCAAUUCUGAGCAAAAAUAACAAAGUUGGAUGCAUCACACUGCCUGAUUUAAAAAUAUAAGGCUAUAGCAUUAAAAGCAGCAUGGUAUUGGAAUAAAAACUGAUAGACCAAUGGAACAGAGUAGAACCUGGAAGUAAAUCCAUGUAUUUACAGCCAACUGAUUUUUGACAAAGAUGCCAAGAACAUACACUGGGAAAAGAGCACCCUCUUCACUUAAUGGAGCUGGGAAAAUAAGAUAUCCAUGUGAAAAAUGAAACCGUUUCUAUCUCUUGCUAUACUAAAAUCAACUCAAGAUGGGUUAAAGACUUAAACAUGAGGCAUGAAACUAUAACAUCACUAUUAAUGAAGGAGACAUUGGGGAAACACUUUAGGACAUUGGUCUAGGGAAAGAUUUUAUGGAUAAGACCUCAAAAACACAGACAAAAACAAAAAUAGACAAAUGGGACUAUAUUAAAUGAUAAAGCUUGUACACAACAAGGGAAACAAUCACCAGAGUGAAGAGACAGCCUGUUGAAUGGGAGAAAAUAUUUGCAAACUACUCAUCUGACAAGGUACUAAUACCAGAAUAUACUAGGAACUCCAAUAACUCAAUAGUAAACAACAAAUUAAUUCCAAUAAAAAGUGAGCAAAAGACAUGGAUAGAUAUUUCUCAAAAGAAAACAUACAAGUAGCCAACAGGUAUAUUUAAAAAAAAAAGCCCAACAUCAGUAAUUAUAAGGGAAAUGCAAGCCAAAACCAUAGUGAGAAUGGCUAUUUUAAAAAGACAAAAAUUAACCAAUGCUGGAGAGGAUGUGGAGGGAACUCUUAUACACUGUUGGUGGGAAUGUAAAUUAAUACUAUAGAAAACAGUUUGAUUUCUGAAAAACCUAAAAAGAGAAAUAUGACAUAAUCCAGCAAUCUCACUACUGGAUAUUUAUCUAAAGGAAAAGAUAUCAGUAUACUAAAAAUGUACCUGCAUCCCCGUGUUUAUUGCAGCACUAUUCACAACAGCAAAGAUAUGGACUCAGGAACCUAAGUGUACAUCAGUGGAUAAAUGGAAAAAGAAAAUGAGGUAAAUAUAUACAAUGGAAUACUAAUUGACCAAAGAAGAAUGAAAUCAUGUCCUUUGCAGCAACAUGAAUGGAGCUGGAGGUCAUUAUUUUAAGCCAGGCACAGAAAGAUAAUUAUCUUAUGUUAUUAUCAUAUGUGGGAGCUAUAAAAGUUGAUCUCAUGGAGGUAGAGAGUAGAAGGAUAGAUACCAAAGGCUGUGAAAGGUAUGUCUGGAGGGUGAAGAGAGGUUGGUUAGUGGGUAAAAAUACACAGCUAGUUAGAAUAAAUAAUUUAUAAUGUUUGAUAAGAGUUGGUUGACUAUAUUUAACAAUAUAAUGUAUAUUUCAAAAUAAAAAAGAGGACUUGAAAUGUUCCUAACUAUAGAGAUGAUAAAUUGAGGGUGAUGGAUACCCUGACUUGAUCAUUACACAUUCGAUGCAUGUAACAAUAGCACAUGUACCCCAUAAGUAUUAUGUAUCGGUCAAAAAAAAAAAAAAAAGGAAAUCCCAGUGCUUUGGGGGGCC